GUAAGAGGUUUGAAAUGUACUGCAUCAAUUUACAUAUCCUCUACUUUCAAAUGUAUGUGUUGAAGAGGUGUUGGUAUUGCCAUUGAAUUAUAGUAACGUUGAGGUCCACUUGUACGGUUCUCAGAUCGGAAUUCAAAAAGGUGAUUGUCGCACUUCACAGCAAAGUCAAUUGUUUGAUUCAAUGUUUGAGGAUCAGGUAAGUUGAGCAUUAAUUUUUUUAUUUCAUAUUAUAAUCUAUAGAAAAAUUGGCUAAUAAGUGCAGCAUCAUCCCACUUGAUAUCAGUUACAAGUUAUCAAAAUUGUGAAGCAUACAACAUUACUGAUCGAUUACCUUGUCGUAAAAUAUGGAUCUUAUUGGUUGCAAUAUGAAUUGCAUUAUGUUCUCCAUACAUAGAUCAAAACUUUGCCAGAAAAGCCUUUAGAUUAUCCAAUAUUGGAUCUCGUCGUUCAAGAAAAGAUGAAAACCAUGAUAGUGCUGAAUCUGAAAGAAGCGUACCAAUGAAGCUAACUUGCGAUCCUGGAGUUGGAUAGCUUUGGGGUUGAAGUUCAAUCACAAGUUGCACUUGAUUGAUAAAUCCUCAAAACUUGGAUCUGGUACCAACAAACUUCUCGGGUAGAACAAUUCUUGGUUCUCUAACACUAGAAGGACGUUCCACCAUAAGAGAAAGGACAUGGUUUGGUGUAGAUGUUGAAGCAGCUCCAACCAUUUCUAUAUCUUCACUUUUUACUAAUCUUGUUACUCCUUGUGGUGGUAAAUUGAGUUGAUGCAUCGUCAGUAUUAACUCCCUCAAUUGUUCUUGUAUUUAUGCCAUUGCAUUUUUCAUUUCAACAAGUUCUGCCAUGAUAACACUUAGAAAAGAAAAGAUGUCUAAUAUCGCUCAAAAAAAAUAGAAGAGAGGACUUGAAAAUAAAGAAAAUACUAAGGACAAUAUCAGUUUAGAAGAGGGUAAUCUGUAACUUCUAAUAUGCUUAUAUCUUAUCAAGAAAAAGGGGUAAUCCACUCUUAAUCAAGAUUAGACAAAGCUCUGAUAUUGUAGGUGUACUCUUGUCAAUCUGUCAAGGAUAAGAACUCGAUGAAAAAACAAUUCAGUCAAGUGAUUCUUCACUCAAAGAAAGGUAACAAAAUAUAAAUAAAUAAGUAUGUAUGUUGAAAGAGAAAAUAGAAUGGCUAUUGCCAAAAGACAAGAAAACUAGAGAACCUUGAAGCUAGAUUAGAAGCAAGAAAAGAGUUGAUAAGAGUGAAGAAGGCUUCACUCUUGUCUCUAUAUAUACUAUCUAACUAAGGGCUACGUGGCGACAUUCUAUAGGACCUCCAAUAUGUGUUGACUUUGUAGGAGACAUGCCUUGACUUACAAGGCAAAUUUUUUUAUGUGUGGACCACAUAGUUAGCUUGAUCUUCAAGCUAACAACAUGUGUGGCACAUGGCCAACUUGUUGACCACGUUUCUAAUCCAAAAGGUCAAUUAAAGACACCUAUGAAGUCAAAGCAGCAUCUAUGAAGCUUCUAGGAAGCUUUCAUAUUAAAUACUAUAGAAUUAACUUACUUUUACUUACUUUUACUUAUUUCUACUUAUUUGUAUAUGUAAUUACUAGCUUACAUGAGUAUGUCCGUGAUACCAUGGAGGUACUAUUUCUAUGCUUAUUAAAAAAAUCAACAAUGAGAUUUAAUAUCUUUGCCAAGAAGUUGGAAAAAUAAGUAUAUGAAUCUCAGAAUUAAAUAUAAGUAGUUUUUUUACUACAAGUAUAAUGAAAGUAAAGAUAAUUAUGUUGUAGAAAUUUAAUGGAAUAAGAUCAAAAUUUUUAAGAUAUUUAUAAAACAUCAAGAUUUAUCUAAGGUUACAUCUUCCUCAAUAUUUUGAUGGAUUUAUUAAAAUCAAAUUUAUAGUUACAUUUCUAUUUAAAAGUAUUCUUUUUUUAAUUUGCACCUCUGUUGGAAAUGAAUUUACAAAUUUUAUAUGAUUAAAAUUCAUUCUUUGAAAUAUUUAUGGCCAAAUUUUUUAAAAAAUAAACAAAAACGGGUUGCAAAGAUAAAGCUCCUAUCUUUUCAACAAGAAUCACAAGCAUCUACUAUAUAAGCUGUUGAAUUCAAAAUCUUGUUUGUAAUGUGGAUUGAAAUGAUAAAGUCCUUAUCAAUUAAUUUUAAUAUAGAUUAAAAGAUAAUAUCAAAGACUUAUUAUUAAAAUGAUAAGAAUAAAUCCAUUAAAAUAAUUUAUUACUCAAGUCAUUACAUAUAAUAUUUAAGUUUUUGAAAGAUGCUUAGAAUAAAGAUUUGAUUGAAAAGAAAUAAAUCAAAUUAUGACAAUAAUUUUUAAGUUUUUAGAAACUUAUUUAUUAAAGCCUAAACCUAUGAAAAUUGAUAUGGUGUGUUUUAAACCUCUUAUUAAUUAAAAAAAACUUGAUGGCAUCAAAAAAGAUUAUCUUUGUAUAAUAAAGAACUCAAAUGUAUUACUUAACAUUGUCUAAAGAAGCAACACAAUCACAAAAUAAAGAACAUAAUUGCUAAAGAAGAUAAUGCAUUGGAAAAAAAAACAAAAAAAUCUAACUAUAUUAAGAACCAUGCAGUUAGAAUCUUGUACAAUACUUAGUAAAAGUCCUAUUUUUUCUUCAAAUCCUUCACUUUACUUUAUAAUAGAUUUUUUUUUAAGAUAAAAAUAUUAAAAAUCUUCUACUUUAUUAAAUUUAAGAUCUUUAACUUAUUUUAUAAAAAGAGACUUUAUUAAAAAAUAAAAACAUCUUUAAUUAAGAAAACUUAUUAUUUUUUGAUAUUUAUGCUACAACCAUUUUUUAUGGUAGAAAGACUUUAAAUUAAAUCCAAGUUAAUAUUAAGAUUAUUAAGAAUUUUUUGAGAAAAAGAAUGCAUAUAUUAUUUCAAAGCAUUAUCUUUAUAAUUGCUCAAUUUAUCUUUAAGAAAAAACUUAACUUUCAUUUGGAUCAAUCUAUAGCUUAUCAUAGAAUAUUUUGGUUGCUCUCAAGAAAUAUAUUAAUGAAAACCUAGACAAGAAUUUUAUAUUCCAUUUAAAAUUUUUUGCAAGUUUUUUUUUAUCUUAUUUGUAAAAAAAAAUGAUGGAUUAUUGCAAUCAAGUAUAGAUUAUUAAAAAAUCAAGAAGAUUACUAUCAAAAAUAAUAUCAUGAAUAUACAAAUGUAUUCUAGUAAAUAUCUAUAUGAUUAGAUAGAAAUAGAUAAAAGUAAGUUAAUUUCAUAAUACCUUCUAAAACAACUUCCUAAAAGCUUUAUAGAUAUUUUGUUGACUUUAUAUGUAUUUGUAGUUGAUUGAUAGAUUAGAAACUUGGUCAUUAAGUUAAUCACUUAUUGAUAGCUUAAAAAAUAAGCUAACCAUAUAGCAUACAUAUAGAAAAUUCACCUUACAAAUUAAGAUAUGUGUCCUGUAAAGUCAACAUGUUUUGGAGGUCUUGUAAGACAUGGCCACAUAGUUCCUAAUUAAGAGUGUAUAUGGAGGCAACAGUGAAGCCUUCUUUAUUCUUAUCAAUGCCUUUUUAGUUGUUAGUCUUAUUUUAAGUCUUUCUAAUCUUCUUGUUUAAGCAAUUGCCAUUUCAAUUCAAUAUUAUAUCAUCUUUGAAUAACUUUCUAGUUCUUUUUAAUGACACAAGAGUGUAUUGAGGAUUUCUUUUUAAGAUUCAUAUGCUUGAUAAUUUGAUAAGAAAACUAAUUUACUAUUUUUAUCUUAUUUUAGAAGUAAGUAGAUUUUUAUGGUUAUAUUUUAAAGGUUACAAAUUAUAUAUCUUUACACAAAUAAUCUUUUUUUAACACUAAUAUUUUUCUAAAUGAAAGUGGAUUAUGUAUCUUUGUGAGAAUUUUUAUUUGAUAUUAGAGAUUGUGGAUUAUUUUCUUCUAAUUAAACUUUUUGAAUAUUUUUGAAUUGCCUGUAGAAUGAAAGAUUAUGGAUGUCGGUGUUAGCAAAAGUGAGAAUAGAUUUACAACUAUUGCAAAUUUUCAUGAGCUUGUCAAUAUUCUAAGAGUAGAAAUCUCACAUAUUUCCAAUAUGAAUCAUAAAAGUACUAUUCCUAUGCAUAUGAAAGAAGUUCAAAGUCUAUGAUAAGAAGUUGUGCAAUUGAAGGAAGUAAAUGGAUUAACCUUAUAACCAAGUGCAGGGAGUUUUACUUCUACAAUUAUGACAGGGACAAGGAUUAGUAUGAUUGAGAAGUUUGAUGGAACAAGAUCAAAAUUUUGAGGAUUUCUGCAACAAGUCAGUUUCUAAUUAGGUUUAUAUUCCUUCCAAUAUCUUGAUGGAUUUACUCAAGUUGAAUUUAUAGGCUAUCAGGGACAUACACAUGUAAGCAUAUAAUCACCUAUAUAAAUAGGUAGAAAUAAAUAGAAGUAGCUAAAAGUAGAUUAAUUCUAUAAUAUCUUCUAUAAAAUCUUUGUAGAAGCUUCAUAGAGGCUGAUUUGACUUUAUAGGUAUCUAUAAUUGAUAUUUUGGAUUAAAAAAGUAGUCAAUAAGUUGGCCAUGUACCACACAUGUUGUUAGCAUGAAGACCAAGCUAACUAUAUAGCCUACAUGUAGAAAAACUUGCUUUGUAAGUCAAGGCAUAUGUGAUACAAAAUCAAAACAUAUAAGAGGUCCUAUAGAACAUCGCCAUGUAGCCCCUACUUAGAUAGUAUAUAUAGAGACAAGAGUGAAGCCCUCUUCACUUUUGUCAAUUCUUUUCUUGCUUCUAGUCUAGUUUCAAGAGUCUCAAGUUUUCUUAUCUUUUGGCAAUAAGCCAUUCUAGUUUCUUUUUAAUAUAUGUAAUUUGUUAUUUUUAUUUUGUUAUUCUUUCAUUGACACGGAUUUCAUUGAUUUAUGCAUCAUCUUUUAGUUCAUGUGCUUGACAAAUUGACAAGAGUCUACUUACAGUAUCAGAGCUUUGUUUUUUUUUAAUUAAGAGUGGAUUAUUCCUUUCUCAUGAUAAGACAUAAGCAUAUUAGAAGUUACGGAUUACCCUCUUUUAAACUGAUAUUGUUCUUAGCAUUUUUUUUGUCUUCAAGUCCUCUCUUCUACUUGUCUUGAGUAGUAUUAGAUAUUUUUGUGAGUGUUAUUAUGGCAUAGCUUCUUGAAAUGAAGAAUGUAAUGGCACAAAUACAAGAACAAUUGAAGGAGUUGAUGCUUGCAACACAUCAACUUAGCUUACUACCACAAAGAUCAAUAAGAAUGGCAUAAAGUCAGGAUAUAGAGAUGAUUAGAGCUGCUUCAACAUCUGCACCAAAUCAUGUCCCUCCAUCCAUGAUGGAAUAUCUGUCAUGGACAUAUAUUGGAAGAUUCUUCGGAUAUUCUUCUAGAAUAUUCUCUAAAGAUUCUCUAAAGAUUCCUUUAGAAGGUUCUAGAAGAUUCUUAGAAUAUUCCCUAAAGAUUCUCUUAGAAGGUUCUAGAAUAUUCUUAGAAGGUUCUAGAAUAUUCUGAUAGAUUCUAGGAAGUUGCUCGAGAAGUUUCCUAAUUAGUAGAAGUUGUUGGAGAAGCGUCCUAGUUAGCGGAAGUAGCUCGAGAAGCUUCCUAUUCAGUAGUAUAUAUAGGAGUCAAGGCUGAAGGGUUCUUCAGUCUCGACAACACAUCUCUUGGAGUUCUAGCUCACCUUUCUGGUGUUGUUCUUGUACUCAUCUGUUUAAUCUAGUUCUGCCACUUCUUCUUGAACUUCUUGUUAGAUUUCAAGUCUGUAUUUUGUGUCCGUGACAGUUUGUCGAGACUACAUUUUCACUGGUAUCAGAGCUAGUUCCUUCUUGUUAGAGAGUGGAUUACCCCUCUUCUUGAAGGUGUGCUAGUGUUUUAGAGGUUGCGGAUUACCCUCCUCUAAACUGAUAUCUCUUCUUUCUCAAUAUUGGAGCCUUAUUCUUCUUGGAGAGAGUGGAUUACCCCUCAUCUUGGAGUCUUAAGGCGUUUUAGAGGUUGCGGAGUACUCUCCUCUGAACCAAUAUUGUCCUCUUGUCAAAACUCUUUUUUCUUCUUUCUGAAGGUUAGCCGAAGGUUAAGAUGUUAAAAUGGCUGAAAGUUUGGAAUCCAAACUAGACGCCAUCAUAAAUGCUCUUGCCUCGUUGUCACAUAGGACAACAGAGAUCGAAGGAGUCAUGGUAGGACUCCAUAACAAUGGAGCAUCUGGGAUAGCGCCAUCUAAAGCAUAUCAGCCUCAAACUUCUGCGCCAGAAGAAGCAGUUCUACCUCCAUUUCAACAAGAUCAAGUAGUCCUACAACGAAAGGAGCCUCGAGUUAGUCUUCCGGAUAAGUUUGAUGGAACUCGUUCCAAGUUUCGAGGUUUUGUCAACCAAAUCAGGUUGAUAACAAUUUUACAGCCCGAACGUUAUCCGACGGAGGAAGCGCGUGUUGGGCUUGUUGGAACCUUGCUUACAGCACAAGCUCUGUCUUGGUUUACUCCCUUGUUUGAGAAGCGAUCGCCAAUCCUGAGCAACUUUGAAACGUUCUUGGAGGCGUUUGCAGAAGCAUUUGGCGAGCAUGAUAAAGUUCGAUGGGCUACAACAAAGAUCCGAUCGCUACGACAAAGAACACGCUCUGCAUCAGUCUAUGCCUCGGAUUUCAGACAAUUGGCAAGUGACAUUAAUUGGGGUGAAGAGGCGUUGGUGAGUCAGUUUUAUUGGGGCUUGAAGGAUGAUGUGAAGGACUUGCUGUUAUCUCUUCCUGAUCCUCAAACGCUCAACGAAGCUAUUAGCCAAGCUGUAAAGUGUGACAACCGCCUAUUCCAGCGUCGCCAAGAUCAACGUCCAAGACACCAAAUGACUCGUUACGACGUGACUAUGUCUGCAAAUAGCUUAAACUCACAUUCGGAGGCAACAGACAUACAAAUCGACACGGCGCGUGUCCGAUCUCUUACUCCAACAGAGAAGAAACGGCGUAUGGAGGAAGGAUUAUGUUUGUAAUGUGGAGAAGAAGGUCACAAGGUUGGAAAUUGCCCAAAGAAGCAAAAUUGGCACCCUGUCAAGACUAGAAGUGCGAUGAUUCCGGAAAACGACGACGCCCAGCCACAGUAGGAACCGUGCGGCUGGACAAUCUAAUAUCAUGACAACAAUCAGGUUCCUCCUUCUCUGUCUAACCUGCCCGUUGUUUUACAAUUCCUUUGUUUUUAGGCCCUCAAAAACAAAAAACUUUAGCUUUAUUGGAUUCGGGGGCAUCUACUUGUUUUUUAGAUGAAGAAUUUGCUAAACGCCACAAGAUCCGUUUAGUACAGAAGUCCAAACCUGUUCACGUAGAGGUGAUAGAUGGACGACCCUUAUUGUCAGGCAACGUUAUCCACGAAUCAGAACCUAUAGAAGUGGUGUUUAAGGACCAUAGUAGUCACGUUAUUUUUAAUAUUAUUAGAACCCCAUCAAGCCCUGUUAUCCUUGGUCUUUCUUGGUUAGAAGAUCAUAAUCCGUCCAUUGAUUGGAGGCUACGAAGGAUAACAUUUCCUGAAAAAAAUAAUAAUAAACCUGUUGGUAGAACCUACAUGAAGAAAUCCAUGUUUAUUGGAGCGAGAGCGUUCUUAAGAUCGUCCAAGGAAGGCGCACCAUUUAUCAUUUAUGCAGCUCCAACUAGCGGCGAGAAUAUCUCAACAUCGAAUAUACCAGAGCAAUAUAGGGAUUUUGAAGAUGUGUUUCAGAAGAAAAAUGCCGAUAUACUACCGGAACAUCGACCAUAUGAUUGCGCCAUAGACUUAGAGGAAGGAGCGCAACCACCUUUUGGUCCAAUAUACAACCUAUCGCAGACGGAGUUGGCAGAAUUGCGGAAGUACAUCGAUGAGAAUCUAGCCAAGAAUUUUAUUCGACAUUCAAAGUCGCCAGCUAGAGCACCAAUCCUAUUCGUGAAGAAAAAGGAUGGUUCACUGCGGAUGUGCGUGGACUACCGAGGACUCAACAAGGUGACCAAGAAAAAUCGCUAUCCCUUACCUUUGAUCUCCGGCCUCUUAGAUCAACUUCGACGUGCAAGGAUUUUUACAAAGAUUGAUUUAAGAGGAGCCUACAACCUUGUGCGAAUUAAAGAAGGAGAUGAAUGGAAGACAGCCUUUCGUACAAGGUAUGGCCAUUUUGAGUACAAUGUCAUGCCUUUUGGUCUUACCAAUGCUCCAACGGUCUUUCAGCAUAUGAUGAACGACAUCUUUCGGGAGUACCUCGAUGACUUUGUUGUCAUCUAUCUGGAUGAUAUUUUGAUAUUUUCCAAGAAUGAAGAAGAACAUGAGAAGCACGUUUGUUUGGUUCUUGAAAAACUACGCAAACGAGGACUCUACGCCAAGUUGGAGAAGUGUCAAUUUCACCAGAAUGAGAUGGAAUUUUUGGGCUUCAUUGUGACUACAGAGGGCUUGAAGAUGGAUCCAAAAAAGGUAGAAGCAAUUAUAUCUUGGGAAGUUCCGAAGACGGUUAGAGAUGUUCAGUGUUUUCUUGGAUUUGAUAACUUCUAUCGGAUCUUCAUCAAGAAUUAUUCUUAAGUUGCUGCACCACUCACGCGUCUAACAAGCAAAGACAAGCUGGAAUGGGGAUCACAAGCAGCAAAAGCAUUUCAAGAUCUCAAGACGGCAUUCACUACGGCUCCAAUCUUGGUACACCCUGACUUUGCAAAGGCUUUCUAUUUAGAAACCGAUGCUUCAGAUUUUGCUUUGGGAGCUGUGCUUUCACAGAUGGGCAUAGACAAGAAGCUUCACCCAGUUGCGUUCUAUUCACGGAAGUUCUCUGCUGCUGAGAUCAACUACGAGAUCCAUGACAAAGAGCUGCUUGCUAUAGUGGAUGCCUUCCAAGAGUGGCGUCACUUCCUCGAAGGAGUUGCACAUCCAGUGAUUGUUUAUACGGACCACAAGAAUUUGGAGUACUUCAUGACAGCUCGAAUUUUGAAUUGUCGUCAAGCUCGAUGGAAUAUGUCUCUAUCACGAUUUGACUUUAUUAUCACCUACCGCCCUGGAAAACAGCAAGGAUUAUCUGACGUAUUAUCGAGGAGAUUGUAUCUUGCGCCAAAGGCUGGAGAAGCAGCGUUUGAUCAACAAUGUACAACAUUGUUGAAACCAAAAAAAUUCAGGAUUUUUGCUACUGUUGCAACUAUCGAUGACGGCUUCCUCAACGAGGUACGUACUGCGACCAUUGAGGAUUCUAUAGCUCUUGACAUCAAACAACGUUUCGAUAAUGACAAGUUUAAGGUGGAGGGAGAUCUUCUGUAUUUUGAGGAGCGGUUGUAUAUCCCAAAAGGACCAACUCGACUCCGAGUACUUCAAUCUCGCCACGACUUUCCAGCUGCGGGACAUUUUGGAUUCAACAAGACUUUGGAGCUCAUUUCACGAGAUUUUUGGUGGCCCCAAAUGUGGAAGGAUGUGAAGGAAUUUGUCCUUUCUUGUGAUGUUUGUUCAAGAUCCAAGAUCCCUCGACAUCGUCCAUAUGGACUUCUCCAGCCAUUGCCUAUUCCGCAUCGACCAUGGUCUUCAGUUUCUAUGGACUUCAUUACGGACCUACCACCAUCGAAUUCAUUUGACAACAUCUUUGUUGUGGUGGAUCGAUUUACAAAGAUGGCGCAUUUCGUGCCUUGCAAGAAAACAUCGUCAAGUGAAGACACCGCAAGACUCUUUCUUGAUAACAUAUAUCGUUAUCAUGGCCUACUAGAUGAUAUCGUGUCGGAUCGAGGUACUCAGUUUGUAUCCAAGUUUUGGAGGUCCCUCUUUGAGAUAUUGAAGGUGGAUAUUAAGCUCUCUUCGGCUUUUCAUCCUCAAACUGACGGUCAAACGGAGCGGGUGAAUCAAGUUUUGGAGCAAUAUUUACAAUGCACCAUCAACUAUCAACAAGAUGAUUGGACUGCAUAUCUACCGCUUGCUGAGUUCGCAUACAACAACACUCUUCAUGCGUCAACUCAACAAACACCAUUCUUCUCCAACUACGGAUACCACCCCAAGCUCGAUUUAUUGAGUUCUUCAGCAAAUAACAACCUAGCAGCUGAAAGAUUUGUGAAGCAACUAUCGGAGCUUCAAGCGACGUUGAAGCUUCAAUUGCAAUCUGCCCAAGAGAGUUACAAGGCAUGUGCAGAUAAAUAUCGAAAUGAGGCGCCUACUUUUAAAGUUGGAAGUAAAGUAUGGCUUCUUCGACGGAAUAUCAAGACCAAGCGGCUAUGUGACAAAUUGGACUAUCGGAGAUUAGGGCCAUUUGUUAUCGGGAAGCAGAUCAAUCCGGUGGCAUAUCGUCUGGAGUUACCAGCUACUAUGAAGGUACAUCCAGUCUUUCACGUGUCUUUGUUGGAACCUUAUCGAGAGUCAGCUUUUUCCCAAAGAGUACAAAGUCCGCCACCAAGUAUCGAAAUUGAAAACCAUGAGGAAUACGAGGUGGAAAAGGUACUAGAUUCACGGCGUAAUAGAAGAAAAUUGGAGUAUUUAGUGCAUUGGAGUGGAUACGACAUCAAUGAACGAACGUGGGAGCGUGCCGAAAAUCUUGCCAAUGCGCCAAAAAAGGUACAAGAAUUUCAUCAACGAUAUCCUCAUAAACCUAAGCCGAUUCAACGAUAGCUUCUUGCUGAAGCUUGCUCAUCAAGUAGCAUAAAAAGGGAGGAGGGCACCUCCAAAACCCAUAGUUCGAUAGUGUAGAACUUUGUUAGCAACUAUAGUUUGCUCUCAUCAUUUUAGCCUUUAGACAUGGAUAGUCAAGAUACUACAUUUGUUAUGUCAUCUCAAGCGACUAGCUCACAAAAACGACCCCAAGAUGAAGAACCGCCUGCACCACGACGACGUCGGAGGAUACCGAGCAAUAGAUCGCUAGUAAUUGUAUUUGAGGUCGAGCCUGCCUACGACGGUCAGCCAGAAGGUGUGUUUGGAGGACAGUUUCACAAUGAAGACACAGAAGUCCACGCUUGGUCAGAGGUUGAAGGUGUUGGUCACUACCGUUGGCUCCAAGGGCCGAUGAAUCAUUUGCCUCGCGAACAACAAUUGGAAUUCAUAGCGGAUGUGAUACGACAGAUUUUCAUUUUCUUGCGUUGGUAUUGACUGAUAACAACAUUGCUUCUCGGAGACCUCGAAGCUAGAAGAGGAGGUGAUGUCAUGGACAUACAUUGGAAGAUUCUUCGAAUAUUCUUCUAGAAUAUUCUCUAAAGAUUCUCUAAAGAUUCCUUUAGAAGGUUCUAGAAGAUUCUUAAAAUAUUCCCUAAUGAUUCUCUUAGAAGGUUCUAGAAUAUUCUUAGAAGGUUCUAGAAUAUUCUGAUAGAUUCUAGAAAGUUGCUCGAGAAGUUUCCUAAUUAGUAGAAGUUGUUGGAGAAGCGUCCUCGUUAGCGGAAGUAGCUCGAGAAGUUUCCUAAUUAGUAGAAGUUGUUGGAGAAGCGUCCUAGUUAGCGGAAGUAGCUCGAGAAGCUUCCUAUUCAAUAGUAUAUAUAGGAGUCGAGGCUGAAGGGUUCUUCAGUCUCGACAACACAUCUCUAAUGCAACUUAUGUUGCAACCAACAAGAUUUGUAUUUUAUGACAAGGCAAUCAAUCUGUAAUGUUAUAUGCUUCACAAUUUUGACAACUUGUAAUUGAUAUCAAGUGAGAUGAUGCUGCACUUAUUAGCCAAUUUUUCUAUAGAUUACAAUAUGAAGUAAAGAAAUUGAUGCUCAACUUACUUGAUCCUCAAACAUUGAGUCAAGUAAUUAAUUUUGCUGUGAAAUAUGACAAUCAAAUUUUUGAAUUUUAAUUUGAGAGUUGUAGAAAUCGGCCUCAAUAUUACUAUAACUCGAUGGCAACACCAACAUAUUUUUAACUCAUACAUUCAAAAGUAGAAGAUAUACAAAUUGAUGCGGUACAUUUUAAAUCUCAUACUAAGCAAGAGAAGAUUCAUCAUCAUCAAGAAGGAUUAUGCUUAUAUUAUGAAGAACCUAUAUACACUACUCAACAUUGUCUAAAGAAGUGACAAAAUUACAAAAUGAUAAGCCCAUUUGUCAAAGAAGACAAUGUAUCAAAAAAUAAAUUUAUCUAGCUAUAAUAGAGAUCGUGCGGUAGAAAUCUUAUACAAUUUUUAAUGAAGGUCCUAUAAUCUCCUCAAAACCCUCUCCUUAUUUCAUAAUAGAUGUGCAUUUAGGACCUAAUAAUUAUAAAGCCUCUACCUUCAUAGAUUCAAGAGCCUUAACUUGUUUCUUAGACGUAGAAUUUGUUAAAAGACAUAAAAUAUUGUUAGUACAAAAAACCAAACCUAUUCAUAUAGAAAACAUAGAUAGUCAUUUGUGAUCUUUUAGAGAUGUUACUCAUGAAACACUUCCUAUAGAUGUAGCAAUAAAUGGUCAUAGUAGUUGCGUAAUCUUUAAUAUAAUUAGAUCUUCUUCUAAUCCAAUCAUUUUAGGUUUAUCAUAGUUAGAAAAAUAUAAUCAUUGUAUAGGUUGGAUUUCUUAUAUCCUUGACUUUUCUAAAAGUAUAAUUAAGAGUAAAAUUAAUCUAAUAGAAAGUCAUAAGUCUAGUAUAAUUAAAUCUAUAUUUGUAGGUAUAAGAGCUUUUUUGCAUGCUGCAAAAGAAGGAUUACCUUGUGUCAUUUAUGCCACACCUGUUUCUAAUGAUGCAAAGACUUCAACUAGCAUUCUCAACUAAUAUCAAGAAUUUCAAGAUGUAUUUGAGAAGAAGAAUGCAAAUACUUUUCCAGAACAUUGUUCUUAAGAUUGCUCAAUUGACCUUCAAGAAAGAGUACAAUGGCCAUUUGGACCAAUCUAUAGUUUAUUACAAAAUGAAUUGGUUGAAUUCAAGGAAUAUAUUGAAGAUAAUUUGGCUAAGAAUUUCAUAUGCCAUUCCAAAUCACCAUUAGGAGCUCCAAUCUUAUUUGUGAAGAAGAAAGAUGGAUCAUUGCGGAUAAGUGUUGAUUAUCAAGGACUCAACAAGAUCACCAUUAAGAAUAGGUAUCUUCUACCUUUGAUAUUCAAACUUCUUGAUCAAUUGAAUCAAGCUAAGAUCUAUACAAAAAUAGAUCUACGGGGAGUAUACAAUCUAAUAAAAAUUAAAAAAAAGAGAUAAAUGGAAGACUAUGUUUCAAACUAAGUAUAUACAUUUUGAAUACAAUGUCAUGCCUUUUGGACUUACAAAUGUACUAGCAACUUUUCAACAUCUAAUGAAUGAUAUUAUUUGAGAAUUUUUAGAUGAUUUUUUUGUCUGUUAUCUGGAUGACAUCUUGAUCUAUUCUAAGAAUACAUAUGAACAUAAAUAUCAUAUUUGUCGUAUGUUAUAAAAAUUAAGAGAUGUGAGACUUUAUGCCAAGAUAGAAAAGUGUGUAUUCUACAGUAGUCAAGUUGAUUUCUUAGGAUAUAUUAUUUUAAAUGAUAGACUUAUGAUAGAUCCUAAGAAAAUUCAAAUGAUUACGGAUUAGAAGAUUUCAAAAAUAGUAAGAGAUGUUUAAUGCUUUUUGAGCUUUGUCAACUAUUAUUGGAUCUUCAUCAAAGAUUUCUCUCGAAUUACAGCUCUACUUACAUGUUUGACUUGCAAAGAAAAACUUGAGUAGAGCAAAGAAACUAAAGCAUCUUUUGAAACUUUGAAAUCAACCUUUAUUUCUGCACCAAUCUUGUAUUGCUUCAAUUUUUUUAAGGCAUUUUUUUAUGGAAAAAAAUGCAUCAAAAUUUUCUUUGAGUGCCAUAUUAUCACAAAUGGGAACAAAUGAUAAACUUCACUCAGUAGCUUUUCAUUACAAAAAAUUUUUAGGAGUUGAAAUUAACUAUGAAAACCACGACAUAGAACUUCUUGCAAUCAUGGAUUCAUUUCAAGGAUGGCAUCAUCAUCUAGAAGGCACUUCUAAUCCAAUCACCAUAUAUAUAGAUCAUAAGAAUCUCAUAUACUUCAUGUCAACACAUGUUUUAAAUCGUUGCCAAGUCCGUUGUCAUAAUGUAAAUGCUUACAGUAUGUAAAAAUUAGUUAAAACAUAUUAUAUGUUAAUAAAUCUAAAUGUGUGUUAAAGUGAUUAAUAGAUUAAAUUAAAAAGAGUUGGUAAAAAAAAACUUUAUUUUGUUUCCCUUACUUAGUUUGAUUAUAGUAUAUAAAAGUUAUAGAACCUUAAUGUUAAGUAUGAAGCCUUGAGAGGAGAUAGGGGGCUAAAGAUGAAGAUUUAACUAAUAGGAGGUUAAUUGGAAGGGAUGAAACCAAGGCAUGGUUGGAUGAUGGUAGAAAUAAGGAUCUUCAUCCCCAUUGGUCGAAAUCCAUGCCCAAUGGGCUUUUAGGAGGCUGCCCGCGACCUUGAUAAGGGUUUCGGCGACUUCAAAGAGGCCAUUAGGAAAUCAAAGGCAAGGAUUGUAAAUUUUAGGGUUUUGGCUACAAUUUUUGUGCAAAUUUUAUAGGAUUUGGAGUUAGGGUGAAUAAGUUAUAGCCGUUUGAAGUUAAGGUGUCAAUUUGAGACCUACUGUUACUCUUUUGAGUUUAAGAGGAGUCUUAUGGAAGCUUUUGGAGAUCGGAAGGUGCGGCUGAAAGAGAAACUUCAAGACAUACAUCUUUUGCGAAGGAAAUUUUGCAUUUAGAGUUUAUGUGAAGGAGUUAUAGGGAGUUAAAGACAGUGCAUUCAAAUCAAAGGCAGUAAGUAAGCGGUUUUGUUCAAAGUAGUGUUAGGAGCCAUAACUUGAAUUUUCGAAAGAAAUUUUGGCUCAAACUUUGGGAGAAUGUAAAAAUUUGUGUUAAGAAGCUAUCUAUAUAAGUUUCGUAGCAUUUGGACUUAUGGUUUGUGAGAUAUGAAGAAAAUUGCGCGCGGGUAUUUAAAGAUUAGGAUUUGAAGCGACUAUUAGGGUUUUGAAGAUAUCUCAAGAUCCGCGACGAAUUUGCGGUUGAAAUUUUUUGUAUAAAUUAAUAACAACAUAGCAGUACUUCAUGUAAAUUUUGAUCUUGUUUGGACGGUUGGAUCAAGAGUAAUGAGGUGUUGAGGUUUGGGAGAAUUUCCACAUAAGGAUAUACAAGGUUUUAGAGUACCUCUACCAUAUUUUGGGUGUUGUUGGUUAUUUAAGACUUAAGUAUUUGGUGUAAUUGUCCCAAAAAGAGAACUUAUAUAUAUGAAAUUAGGAUUUCUUUAUUUUAAGCUUGAUUGAGAAAUUAGUGACAACCAGAAGCCCAACACUUUCUAGAGGCAAAACCUGUCUAUCCCGACAACGAUAUCUGCUUCACGUACCAAUCUCAUGUCAUGCUUAAGCUCAUCAAGUGAAGAGCAUACGUACAUGGUAUGUCCUUCUAUGAUGGACAUUAGCUCCUCAACGCUUGUCCUAUGUAUGGUAUCGUGAAGGUUAUUAGCUGCAAUCACAACCUCAUUGCUAUUUAUUUGUACAUCUUUGACGAUGUUAUCGGGUAUAGUGUAGUUAUUUAUGUUGGCGAUCUUCUCGCAUAUUUCUUCUACCUGUGUAAAUAGAAAACCACCACUUUUUUUUGUACAUUCGUUGAUUAGAUCCAUAACAUACUCUAGGUCAUCACGAGAUACCUUAAGACCAUUAGCAAUGUAGUUCUCGACAAUAGUAUCAAUAUCGUCUAUGGCCUUCGCUGUUGCUAUAGCAUGUCUUUUAGAGGCAUCCACUUUCUUUUCUAAUGAGGAUAUCUUAUUCUCCACGAAAGACAUUAUUCUAUUCUCUGUCGAAGACAGCUUUGUAAGGACAGCUGACAUGUCCUGAGAAGGUGGUUGCUGCUAUGGUGCUUUAGGUCUGACACUAAAAGCGCUAGACUUAAGUGCAAGAGCUUGCACAUCCUUCUGAUUAUUAGGUCGUAAGAGAGCACCUAUAGGUCUAUUAACAAAUACGGAUGAUGAACUUUGUGACUCUACUUUGCUACUUGGCUUGAAUGGCAUUGCAUCAAACCUCAUCCUUGGUGGUUCUACAUCAUCCUCGUCAGAAGAUACUUCACGCUUAUGUAGUUGGAUACUACUAUGCAUAAAGGCUUGUGACAGAGGAUGGCGAUCCUCCCUUGCAUCGUCUGCCCAUCUUGUUGCAUCCUUCUUCAAAGCAUCGGCCUUGACCUGGAAGGAGCUAAAGAACUUUGAAGCCAUAUUAUGCAUGUUAAACAAAACAACAAAACAACAAUAUCGUAUAUAUUAUGUAGACUAUGGACAUAGGAGCAUAGGAAUAUGUGACUAGACCAUCACAGCUCCAAUAAUCUUUUCAAUUUCUCUGGUGGAGUUUCUACUCUUAUAGUAGUUGAUGUCGUAGUGAAAGGGGGCGAAGGUGAUCCUUUCUUACCUAUAAGAAGAAUAUUGUUGUCCUUAACACAUAUCUUUUGUAUAAUCUUUAUUUUGUCCUUUUCAAAUUGCACAUCGUCUGUCUUGAUCAUACCCAGUUUCAAAUAAAUUAGAAUGAUACUAGCACCUUUUCGAGGUCCUUGCCUGAUAGUCCAGUGUUGAUCUCGAGAUAUUCUUUUACAACAUUUCUUGCAAUUAGCUUUGCUAUUUUGGCAUACAUAAUAAUCUCGCUGUUAUGUUUAUAUUGAUAUAAUAUCAUUAUUGUCUGCAAUAAGCAUAAAGGUAUUUCAGCCCACUACAUUGAUAAGAAAUUAUAAUACCAAAACUAUCAUGUCUCGAGUUGGUAUUUCAACAUUGUUAUCUCCUUUGAUACAAAGAAUGUCCUUAUACAAAAUAGAACGCAUAAAGAUUGUUGUUGAUAUUAAUGCUUUGAUGUUCAUUAUGUCCAAGUGUGCUAUACGUCAUCAUUUAAAAAAGAAAUUCUCUUUAAAGGAAGCUAACGAUGUACUACAUUAUGAGGAGUUUGAAAGGACAGAGUAUGGUUCAUACUGUAUCGACACAAUAAAGAAAGCAAUGGAAAUCCUAAGAGAUGAAUUCUAUUGUGUCUUUGUAUUCGAUGGAAAGACAUUUCCUGAGAAACAAUUAGAUAUUUGGACUUCUUAAUUAGUUGAAUCAAGCUAAGAUCUAUACAAAAAUAGAUCUACAAAGAGUAUAUAAUCUGGUACGCAUCAAAAAAGAGAUGAAUAGAAGACUACAUUUCAAACAAGGUAUGGAAAUUUUGAAUACAACAUCAUGCCUUAUAGACUUACAAAUGCACCAACAGCUUUUCAAUAUCUAAUGAAUGAUGUUUUUUUGAGAAUUUUUAGAUGAUUUUUUUAUUUGUUAUAUAGAAAAUAUCUUAAUUUAUUUUAAGAACAUAAAAGAAUAUAAACUUCAUAUUCAUUGUGUGUUACAAAAACUAAGAAACGUGGGAUUCUAUGCUAAGAUAGAAAAGUGAAUAUUCUAUAUUACUCAAGUUGACUUCUUAGGAUACAUUAUUUUAAAUGAUGGAUUUAUGAUGGAUCCUAAAAAAAUUUAAAUUAUUAUGAAUUGAAAGAUUUCAAAAACAAUAAGAGAUGUCUAAUGUUUUUUGAAAUUUGCUAAUUACUACUAAAUCUUCAUUAAGAACAACUUUUAGGUUGUAGCUCCACCUAUACACUUGACUUAUAAAGACAAACUAUAAUAGAAUGAAGAAGUGGAAGCAAUAUUUGAAUCUUUAAAGAUAAAUUUUAUUUCUACACUAAUCUUAUAUGGUGUGAACUUUUUUAAGCCAUUUUUAAUAUUAAAAGAUGCAUUGGACUUUGCUUUAAGUAUCAUAUUGUCACAAAUGGGAAUAGAUGAUAAACUUCAUUUAAUAAAUUUUUAUUUAAGAAAUUUUUUAGCAAUUGAGAUUAAUUACAAGAUUCACAGUAAAGUAUUUCUUAUAAUUAUUGACUUAUAUUAAGAAUGGUGCCAUUAUCUAAAAGACACUUCUAAUCUAAUCAUUGUUUAUAUUGACCAUAAGAAUCAUAAAUAUUUUAUGUUAUGAAUUAUUACUAAGCUUAUUGGAGCAUGGCUUUAUCAAUAUUUGAUUUUAAAAUCACUUAUUCAUCCAAAAAAUAACAAAGUUUGUCAAAUAAUUUUUUUAGACAUUCUUAUCUUACAUCAAAAGAAGGAGAUAUAUCUUUUGAUCAAUAAAGAAUGAUUUUUUUGAAAUCAAAGCACUUUCAUUUUUGACCAAUAAAAUCAAUAUUGAUUGUUAAUUCAAAUCUUAUCAAGCAAAUUCAGUCAAGUAUGUUCUUUGAUUCUUUUGUUAAUGAUAUUAAGAAUCCUUCUUAUAAGUCUCAAGAUGCUUCUAAGCUCAAGUUCAAAAAAUACCUAUUCUAUUUCAAAGGACGUCUAUACAUUCUAGAAGGAAAAAUACAUUUAUGUAUUCUUCAGGCAUGUCAUGAUUUUUUAGUGGUCAGACAUUUUAGAUAUAAAAAGUCUUUAGAAGUUAUAUCUAGAGAUUUUUGGUGGCCACAAAUAUAGAAGGCAAUGAAAGACUUUAUUUAAUUAUGUGACAUUUGUUCAAGGUCAAAAAUUCCUUGUCAUUAAUCUUAUAGACUUUUUCAACCUUUAUCCAUUCUAGAACAACCAUGGUCUUCUAUUUCUAUGAAUUUUAUCAUGAAUCUUUCAAUCUUAGGUUCUUAUGACUAUAUAUUUAUGACAGUAGAUCGUUUCAUGAAGAUGGCACAUUUUGUAUCAUGUAUAAAAACUAUCACACGUAAAAAAACAACCAAGCUUUUCUUUGACAACAUCUAUCACUAUCAUGGAUUACCUAAGGAUAUUGUAUCUGAUAGAAGAAUUCAAUUUGUAUUAAGAUUUUAGAGAAUGUUUUUAAAGAUUUUAAAAGUAGCUCUUAAACUAUCUUCAGCUUUCCAACUUCAAACUGAUGGACAAAUAAAGCAUGUAAAUUAAGUUUUAGAGCAGUAUUUGAGAUGUACCAUCAAUUAUCAAUAAGAUGAUUGAAUGAUUUUUUUACCAUUGGAAAAAUUUUCUUAUAAUAGUAUAUAUUCUUCUAUAAAAUAAAUAUAUUUUUUAUUAAUUAUAGAUAUCAUCUAUGACUUAAUAUUUUUGACUUUUUAAAAGUUAAUAAUCUUAUGGUAGAAGAUUUGACAAAUCAUUUAUUAGAGCUACAUACAACAAUGAAGGUACAACUAAAAGAGGCUCAAGAACAAUAAAAGAGCAACGUAGAUGCUUAUUACAAAGAACAACCUUAUUUUCACAUUGGUGAUAAUAAGAUAUGGUUACUUUAUUAUAAUUUUAAAAUUAUACAUUGUUAUAACAAGUUAGAUUAUUAUAGACUUUGACUAUUUUUUAUUUGUGAACAAGUCAAUUCUAUUGCUUAUUGAUUAAAUCUAUUAGAGUUUAUGAAAAUCCAUUCUAUAUUUCACAUGUCUGUUUUAGAGCCAUAUAAGACAAUGAAUAUCUCAAAAAGAAGAAAAAUACCACCACCUUAUAUAGAAGUAGAUAAUAAUCAAGAAUUCAAGGUAAAAGAAGUCUUAGACUCAAGGCGGCACUGAAAUAGGUUAAAAUAUCUUAUUCAUUAGCGUGGAUAUAAUAUUAGCAAAUGUACAUGAGAGCCAGCAAAUAAUCUUAUAAAUGUAGUAGAGAAGGUCAAAGUUUUUUAUCAAUGACAUCUAUCUAAACCAAGAUGAAGAAUAAUAAACGUUUGUUAUAAAAGAAACAUAAUUUUGGACAAAAUGCAUUCUACCUUCUACUCUUGUUUGUAAUAAUUGUGUAAGUGUGAUAUUAAAGAGAUGGAGAACUAACAACCAAUGGAUUCAAUUCAAAAGCCAUCAUUUACUAACUUAUAAGAUAAGAUAUUGUGAUUAUUACAACCUUUAAGAUAACAUAAUAGAGAUGAAGACCUUCAAGAAUGAUAUUUUUUUUUAAAAAUAGAUAGUAAGAUACAAUACAUUUGGUAUCACAAUUUGAGAAGAGAUUGUCAAUGUUUGGUAAUUUUAUAGGUGAAAUGACUCCUGAUGGUAUUACAAAUAUUUUGUUUGAAGGAAGUUACAAAGGUUUUAAUAAUGAUCAUAUAAUAGAGUGAUCUUCUUGCCUUAGAAUGAAACAUUAUCAAUGGCUAAGAGAACCUAUCAACUACUCUAAACGAGAACAAAGAUCAAUGUAUGUAACAAAUACAAUUUAUCACAUUUUAGACUUCUUUAAUAUAUGAUCACUUUUCUUCAUAAAACUCGUCCCUAGAAGGAAAGAUAAUGUCAUGGAUAUAUAUCUAAUAUAGUUAUUACCAAGCUAAAAUGAAAAGAUAGAAGUAGAUAAAAAUAAAUAAAAAUAUCUUCUAAAAAAGCUUUCUAAAAGCUUUUUAAAUGCUAUUUUGACUUUGUAUGUAUUUGUAGUUGAUUGAUAGGAUAGAAACUUGGUCAACAAGCUAACCACAUGCUAUAAGUAUUGAUAGCUUGUGGAACAAGCUAACUAUAUAGCACCCAUAUAAAAAAAUUACCUUGUAAGUUAAGUUAAGUAUCAUGCAAAUUCAACAUAUUUUUGGAGGUCCUAUAGAAUGUUGUCACACAGAUCUUAGAUAGAUAGUAUAUAUAGAGGAAAUAGUAAAGCCUUCUUCAAUCUUGUCAAUUCUUUUCUUAUUUCUAAUAUAAUUUUAAGAGUCUCUAGUUUUUUUGUCUUUUAACAAUAGUCAUUCCAAUUUUCUUUUUAAUAUACAUACUUUUCUAUUUUUAUUUCUUUGAAAGAGUCUCAUUUAUUUAUUUGCUUUCAUUAAGUUCUUGUGCUUGAUAUUCUAUCAAAAAGUACUCUCUCUUGGUUUGCAUCUUUAAUGUGGACUAGAAUGACUAAGUUACUAUCAAUCAAUUUUGAUAUGGAUUGAAGGACAAUAUCAAAGAUUUGUUAUUGACAAUAUCAAAGGCAAAAUCUUUAGAAUAAUUUAUUACUUAAGCCAUUACAUAUGACAAUUGAUUAUUUGAAAGACAUCAAAAAUAAAGACUUAGCUAAAGAAGAACAAGUUAAGUAAUGAUGGCAACUCUUAAGUUUUUAAAAACUUAUUCAUCAAAGCCAAAAUCAAUAAAAAUUGAUAUGAUAUAUUUUAAAUUUCUCACAAAGUAGAAAAAGACUUGAUGACAUUAAGAAGGCUUAUGCUUAUAUUAUAGAGAAGCUAAAUGUAUUGCUCAAAAUUAUCCAAAGAAACAAUACAACUACAAAAUAUGAAGUAUGGUUUCCAAAGGAGAUGAUGUAUUGAAGAAUAAGUUUUUUCAACUACAAUAGGCACCUUGCAAUUAGAAUCUUACAUAAUUCCUUAUAAAGGUCUUAUUUUCUCCUCAACCUUUCAUCUUAUUUUACAAUAGAAGUUUAUUUAGGACCAAAAAAUUAUAAAGUCUUAACCUUAUUAGAUUCAAGAACCUUAGUCUAUUUUAUAAAUAAAGAUUUUGUUCAAAAAAAAGAGAAUUUAUCAGUCAAAUAGACUAAAUCUAUAUAUGUAGAAGUCAUAGAUGGUUGUUUGUUAUCUUAAAGAGAUAUUAUGCUGUUAGAGAAGAGAGAGUUUGCCUCAAGAAAGUGCUAGGCCUCUAGCUGCUACUAAAUGUUCAAUCAAAUCUAAGAUAUUAAAUUUCUAAGUUUAUAUAUAUAAUAUUUUUCCUUUUAGGAAAAUUAAAUCAAUACAUAAGUCUAACUAUAAAAAAAAAUACAUCCAAAUAUAUGAUAAAAUAACUUAAAAUCUUAUACAUUCUUAUAGAAUUUUUUUUUCAAACUUCAAAAAUUUAUAUCUCACGAUCAAAUUAUCCAAAAAAACUAAAAUUUUAUAUCAAGUAUUGAUAUAAUUUCAAAAAAUAUAAAAAGAAAUUUCAACUAAAAAUUUGCUAUGCAUCUUGAGAUAUUGCCAAAAUCCUAACAAUAGCUUCAAAUCCUUAUUUAUAUACACCUCCAUGCAAUUUUCUUUAUAUUUCAUAAAUUAAGUAUUUAAAUACCAUGAAACUUUGAUCUAUAGCUUUCUAAUCUAAUAACAUACACUUAUAGAAAUUUUGAGCUAAAAAUUCGAUUAGAAACUCAAGAUAUGGCUCGAACCAUUAGUAUCAAUAAAACAACUUAUUUACUAUCAUUGAAUUACAUGUGCUAUCUUCAAUGCCCUAUAACUCCUUCAUUUAGACUUAGAAUUCAUCAAAUAAAAUAUUAAAAGUGUAGCUCAAAAAGUAUUCUCUUUAAUUUUAGACACCGAUCUUUUUUUGUUUUUUGUAAGUAUAUUUUAUACUCCAAAGAGUGACAAUAGGUAUGAAAUUGUCACCUUAACUUUGAGCACCUAUAACACCUUCAUAAAGACUCCAAAUCAUACAAGAUUUGUAUCCAAAUUAUAUUCAAAAAUCUAAAUUUGCUAAUCUUAGCCUUCAUAGCUCAAAUAAACUCAAAAAAAAAAUCCUAAUCUCCAAUGAGGCCUUGGGCAGCCUCCUUGAAGCCCAUUGGAUAUGACAUUUGACCAAUAGGAAUGAAGAUCUUCACUCCUUGCCUUCAUCCAACCAUACCUUAUUUUCACCCUUUCCAAUAAGCUUCUUAAUAGUUUAGACUUUCAUCUUUAUGUUCCAACUUUUUCUUAUGUUUUAUAUUAAAUAUCUAAAUCCUACAUAAUAUAAACACUAUAAUCAAAAUAGUUAAACAUCCAAAUAAAUUUUCUUACAUCAAUUCUCUUUAAAUUUACUAUCAAGGUUUUUAAGACGUUUUUAAAAAGAAGAAUGCAAAUAUUCUUUCAAAGUAUUAUCCUUAUGAUUGUUCCAUUGAUCUUUACGAAAAAAUUCAACCACCAUUUGGACCAAUCUAUAGCUUAACACAAAAAAAAUUGGCUGCAUUCAAGGAUUACAUCAAUGAGAAUUUGGCUAAAAAUUUCAUAUGCCAUUCUAAAUUUCUAACUAAGGGUCUUAUCUUAUUUGUGAAGAAAAAAUAUGGAUCUCUACAAAUGUAUGUGGACUAUCAAAAAUUCAAUAAGAUCAUGAUUAAGAAUAAAUAUCUUCUAUAGUGAGUGUAAAAUUUAUUCUUCAACUCAAAUUACAAGAUGGCCUCAAUUAAAAGCUGCUUGUAAUGGAUGGUGUAAAGUAAAAAAAUCAAAUAGUAAGAAUAAAAGAAGAAAAUAUACAAAAUAAUUGAAAUAAUGAAACGAAGCAAUUUUACAAUCCAAAACUUGGUCUAAUUUGUUUGCUGAGUUUUAUCCAAUAAAAAUAAAAAAUAAAAAAUAAAAAUAAAUAAUAAUUUUUUAAAAAGCUAUAUAUAUAUAUUUUUUAUUUUUCCAAUUAUCUAAGAAACAUCUAAAUCCGAUUUAUUAUGAUUAAAUUAUGAAGGUUUAAAAAUAAUAAGUAAACAAAUAAAAAAUUAAAUAAAAAUAUUUUAUCUCAAAGAUAACUUGCUUAUAGAUCAAAGGUUCAAACCUCACUAAGGCUCACAUAUAGUAUAUAAGAAUUUCCAAGAAAUGCCAUGAAGCCAUAGUCGUAUCUUCUUUUCUACCUUUAAGGUGCUACAAUCUAUAUGAGACUUAUGCAUCUUUUUUUUUAUAAGGACUAAAAUAGCUGCUAGUCCUCAUAUUUUUUACUAAUAGAUCCAAUAAUUUUAUAAUUUUGACUUUAUUAUAGUAUUAAAAAACAUCCAAUUAGCCUAAGAAGUUUGUGUGGCCUUCAAAUCUUACUCCAUUUUUCAUAAUGACUUCCAAAGUAGUAAAACUUAUUUUUAUCUAAGUCUUAAAAAUUACUCUAAAAAUUCUAAAUAAAUUCUAAAUAUUUCUAUAAUAGUUUUAUAAUACCAAUAUAAAUUUAAAACUAUAAUUUCAUAUCUUGAUGAUAUUUUAUAAUAAUAAAAUUAAUUUAAAUCUACUAAAAAUCCUACUUUUUAUAUAAAUAACUAAAAAGACAUAGAAUUCUUUCUCAUGCUUCUUUUAGCUACUAACUAAAUUUUAUAAUUUUUUAUAAGUAAUAUAUAUAAAAAGAAGGCCAAUUUAAAUAUUUAUCUUAAUAAAUAAUCCUUAAUAUUCAAUAAUAAGUAAAAAAAAUACUAAAUCAACUCAGCUAAUUACCUCCAAGCUUGAUUAAGAUUCCAUUUCUAUAACUAAUAUUCUAAUUUUCUAUUUUUCUAAAGAUUUUUAUACUAUUUACUAUAUAUUGUGAUUUUAAGUACUCUAAAUAUAUCUUUUUGUCCUAAAAAAAUUAAUGAAUUGAUUUAAUGACUCAAAUCUAUCUUUGAUUUUAAGACUUUUUGAUCAACUCAAUGAAACAAAGAUGUAUACAAAAAUAGAUUUACAAAGAGUAUAUAAUCUCAUAUGCAUUAAACAAAGAGAUGAAUGAAAAAUUAUAUUUUGAACUAGGUAUGGAUAUUUUAAAUAUAAUGUCAUGCCUUUUAGAUUCAUAAAUGCAAUAACUAUGUAGAAUAGAUAUUAAUUUGUUUUUGAAAGAUAUUGAUAAAAUAUAUUAAUAGUCCAUAUAAUAGGAAAUUCAGGAGGACGGAUGAGUGAUUUAGUUAUUAAAAGCAGUUAAUUACAGAAUUACGGUUAGAAUCUGGAGAAUUAGGGAAAAAUAUAUAAGAGUUGUAGAAGUUAAUUAGGGUGCCAGACCGUGAGAAUCGUGAGCCGAGGGCCAUCGCUAUGAUAGUGUGAGCUGGAGUAAGCUUGGUGCUACCUCUUUUCUUUUAUUUGUUAUUUUCUUUGAAUAAGAGGAUUGAGAGUUUUUGAAUAUUGUGAAGUGAAUUAUGGAAUGGAAAUGUGAUUGGUAUUAUUUGAGAAGAAAAAAGAUUGAAUGCUGAAAUCUGAUUGUAGUUCAGUAGAGAGAAUGAGUCUGUGUUUGUGUGAAACACUAUAAUAUGAAUGGCAGUUCUGUGUGAAGAAUUUCAAUGAUUGGAACGAGGGUAAUUGUAUGCUCAAAGCUGUGAGGACGCAAUAUUACAGUUGGAAAUUAUGAGGGUGAAUAUAUUGGUGGAAAUAGCAGUUAUUCGUAAGAAUGAAUUGAUGUAAAGAAGAGAUCGAUAAGGUGAAGGAGGAGAUUAUAGUUUCCUUGUAUGUUCAGAUAUUGGAAAUAGAGACAAUAUAUUCAGGAGAUAAUUGAUUGUGUGAACUUAACGUGAACGCUUAAGCAACUAAUCAUUCUCCGUGUUUGAAUCCUCCUAUACGGAUUUAUUCCGGGAGGUUUCUUUCGGAAUAAGUAAAACUAGCAAUCACAUUUUGGCACUGCUACCGGGGAGUGAUAAUAGCUUUGAGUAUUAAGAAUUAAUUACCAAACAUGUGAGAAAAUUGGCAAUGGAAGACAAUUUCAGUAGUGUUUGAAGGAAGUUUAUGGUUAAUAAGAACAAGGGCAUUGCAUCGAAGAAAAUAAAUCAGUUGAGAGAAAGACAAGGAAGAGCGCAAGGAAGGAACUUGCUUAGAGAGGAGCAAGAACAUAAUCUUAAAAGGAAGCAUUGACAGAAUUGGAUUAAACCAUGAUUACAAGCUUGUCGGUACAUUCGAACAUAUCAAGAACCAGACAGACUAUGAAUUCUGCAGUUGUAUGUAUUGUUAGGAAAAACUACCAAGAACACUCGUGGAAAAUUUUGUUAAUAUUCCAGUGGAAAUCUUGAGGUCAUUAACUGAAAGAGAAGGAGGCGUAGAAGAAUUUGGUACUCCAUUGGGUAUUUUUUCAGUAAGGGGUACCGCUGAAAUGAGCAAUAGUGGCUCUUCAGAUUCGCACAAAUUGGUCGCCAAUAAAGAUAACUAUAUUGAAUUUCAAAAUCUGACGUUUUUACUUACAAUUCAACCAAUAAAACUAAUUGCAGAAAAUAACAGUAAAUCGAGGAGCACUGAGAGCUCGAAAAUUAGAAUAAGGAAAAACAGAGAUUAUUUUAAAAUGGAGUUUAGCGGGACAAGAAAUUCAAUGAUGUCAAGAGGAGCAGUCGUUUCGAUUGCAGUACAAAUGGGUGCAGUAGGCAAUUGUACGACUAGUGUUGCACCAUUACCUACUUUUUGAGGUUUACCAGGAAUGGAUCCAGAUCAACAUUUGUCUGAAUUCUUGAUGGCAUGUGUAGCUAAUAAUGGAAGAACAGAAGACAUUUGGUUAAGAUGGCUGCCAGUGACAUUGAAAGAUACAGCAUUUGAGUGGUAUAACCGCCAACCUAUGAGACAAUUUAUCAAUUGGGAGGUAUUAAAAAAUACAUUUUUAGCCCAUUUUUGACUAAUUGGUUUUGAAGAACCUCUUAGAGAAAAAUUAAUGACCAGCAGAAUGGUACCAGGGGAAGCGGUACAAUCAUAUUAUGGUUGUGUAGCGGAUAUACUUCAAAAAUGGCCAAAUAACCAAAUGCCAGAAUCGUUUGUGUUGUCCAUAUUGGUUAAUGGACUACACCCAUCAGAAUUGAAGUUGUUUAUAAAGGAGGCCCAAACAGCUACCAUUGCAUCAUCUCUUGAGUGAGCAAAAGUAUGGGAGGAAUGUCACUAUGACCAGAACUUAACAAUUGGAGCUACGAUGAUUCCGUCUCAAGGAGGUUAUCAAAUGACAAAUUGGAAUGACGCAUCGAGAAGUUAUCUAGGAAGGAAUAAUUAUGGUAUAAUUCUAUAGGAAAUCGUAGAUGUCAUUCUAUUAUAAGCUAUACGACCAUAAUCAUCACACCCAUAUGCAUCUUAUUUUGCAUAUCAAAAACCAAUACCUACAAAGGAAUUGCUAAAUGCAUUCAUAUCAAGGGAUCCCAAUGAGUCAUUGCUGUUAAUAUUGACGAAAAAAAUGAGUGAAUUGGCUGUGAAUCUGGCCAAGGAUAAAGAAAAAAGGCAUAAACCAACCAAUAUGCGUCCCAAUGUCUGGUGCAGCAAUUGUAAGGGAUAAGGUCAUUUAGUAACAGAAUGUCCUUCACCACCUCAAAUGACUGUACAAUGUACCUUUUGCGGGAGCAAGCAUAUGACCACCAACUAUUGGAAUUUACGGAAGCAACAACAACUCAGUAAUCAGAUAAUGACUCAACCAACUUUGUGGGAUGUUAAUCAAGUACAGACGAAUAAUAGGUUUGGCUGGAAUGGAAAUCGAGCAAAUAAACAAAACAAGAAUUAUUCUAAUUUCCUCAACUCUGAAUUUUACCAAAAAGGUGUAUCUAAUACUCACGGAUUGGCGAUGAACCAACCAAGAUACCAUCAAUAUCUACCUAUGAUGAAGCCAAUGCCAAAAUCUACAGUAAUAAUGAGUCAACCAAGAUCCUUUACUCAUCCGACAUGGAACAGACCUAGCCGUCAUAUACUCGUAGACACAUUCAAUAUCCCUGAAGGAAUUAGCAGGAGAUCACUUCAUUGCUAUCGUUGCAGAUAAAUCGGACAUUAUGUAAGAGAAUGUCCUAAUCCAAAGGGCAGUGAUGACUAUGCUCCAAUAUGUGGAAAUUGUAAGCAGUCUGGUCACACUUAUCAGCAGUGCAAUGUGCCCUUUAAUUAUAAUAACUGGGACUAGCAAAUGCAAAUCAGCCAAUUAUCGGAGGACAAAGGCCCUGUUCAACGAGACUCACCAGUAUAUCGUGUCGAGGUGGUGAACGUAGUACUUACUAGAGGCCAAUAAAAAGAUAAGAAUCUAAUUUAAGACAUGGAUGAACCAAUCGCAGGAGAACAAGUAGCAUCAUCUAUGGGGCUAAAUGAACUAAUAUCAAUAUUGGGACAUAUCCCAAUAUUGAGACCUCAACAGACUGAGGAACCCAAUUCGGUUCCAUAUGCCAAUUUAUCGGGACCAUCCAAUCCAGGUCCUGUUAUGGGCUUUGUAUCUAGUAUGAGACCUGAAUCGGUGGCAGAACCCAAUGAGGUCCCAAUUACGGAGGCUUUGGUUCCGAUCCAAGCAGUUUCGAUCUCUACGCAGUUUUAAGAAAUGUCCUAUCCUUUGAAAGAUCCUCUCGGGGGUGGAAAUUCCAAGGAAGCCCCGGCUGCUGUUCCAAUUCCGAGUCCAAGGCGGAAGAAUAUAUUAUCUCACAGAGUUAAACUCAAACCAAUGAAAUACAAAAGAGCAUUGGAAAUUACUCUCAAUAUGGAAUCCUAUGACAUUCUGAAGGAUUUGGAUGUUAUUCAGCCUUCAAUUACAAUGAAGUAACUUUUGGCUAUAGCAUCGCAAUGUCGAUCUAUAUUGAAUUCAGUAUUAAUACAACAAAGAUCUCGCACUAAAGAAAUUCAUGAAGUUAGCUUAAACCCAGAUCCGGGAGCACCAACAAUCAAUGUAUCAAUCGAUGGCAUUUUAAUUCCAGGGGUAUAAGUCGAUGGUGGCUCCAGUGUAAAUUUAAUGAACGCGGAUACAAUAGAGGACUUGGAUCUAAAGCAAUUGCUACCUAUGACAUUAGUAUUACGAAUAGUAGAUCAUAGUCGGAUAAAGCCAAUUAGAAUCUUAUGCAAUAUUGCCACUGUAAUCAUCAGAUUGUCAUACAAAAUCGAUUAUAUUGUAUUCCAAUUACAGAGUUCUACAUUAUCAUAUCCCAUUUUAUUAGGCAGACCUUGGCUUUAUCAAGCUAAAGCUAAGAACGAUUGCGGCCGAGGCACUUUGAUAAUUGGAAAAGGCCGGGACCAGAUUGUUCUACAGAUGUACUUGGUACAAUAUCAUAAAGAAUCUCAAUUGCCAGAAUCAGAAUUUACAUCGGACAACAAGAGUCAAUCGAUUGAGGCAAAUGAUGAUGCUAUAGGUUCACCAUAAUUUAGAAUAGGACAAAACACUUCAAUAGCAAAGGCAAGAGUCUACCAAUGUGGAAGUCCCGGUGAAUAUUUACUACAUCAGGAGGAUGCGACUAACUCGGAUCAUGCUAUUGCCGAAUGGAUGAAUAAUUCUGCAAUCAAUAAAGUUAGCACAUUGAAACCAGAUUUGGGUGGUUCCCAUAUGUCGGAUAAUACAAGAUAUUCAGAUCAAGAGAAGACAAUUUAAUCAGAGGUUGUUGAAGACCCUGUGUGUUAAUCUAUUAACCUGGGCACCAACGAAAUGCCACAGCUAAUUAAAAUAUAUCCUGGUAUUAUCGGUACAGAAUUGGAUGCUUGGAAACAAUUUUUCGUCCAUCACAAAUCUGCCUUUGCGUGGUCAUAUGCGGAUUUGAAAGGGAUUCCACUUGACGUGUGUGAGCACCAGAUUAUUUUGGAGGAAGGUAUUACGCCAAUUCGUCAAAGACAACACCGGCUUAACCCAAAAUAUUUCUUUUUAGUGAAAGAAGAAUUGCAUAAACUUCUUGACAUGGGUUUUAUUUAUCCUAUUUUGCAUAGUGCGUGGGUGUCAAUAAUCGUGAUGGUACCGAAGACGAAUGAGAAAAUCACGAUAUGUCAGAAUUUUUAAAAACUUAAUAUGGCCACCAAGAAAGAUUACUUCUCAUUACCUUUCAUGGAUAGUACCGGUAACAUGUUGUCAUUAUCACCAAAUAGUAAAAGAAUAGGAGUGGGGCACCAGUUAAAGUCAUUCUGUGGUGUUGUUUUGGAUUGGCUGGUGUGCCAUUUUCUUGUAUUUCUUGUAUUUUUGAGAGUAGUAGUUCCAAAUAAAAGUCAAUAGUGAGGAGCCAGUCAUAAGAAAGAGAAUGCAUGGUGAAAACCUACAGGCAAGAACUAUUUUGGACUUACAAUAAUUCAAUUUUAGAACUGAAAAAAGUAAAGGGUCAGUUGGUAAUGGAACAAGAAAAGGCUGAGUUAUUGGCAUAAGAGAAAUUGGUAUUAAGUGACUAAUACAGAUGUGAAACGAAGCGGUUAAGGGCUAAAAUUGAGACCUUAAAUGUUGAGGUGAUAAGAUUGGUAGAGGAUUUAGUGAAUAUUGGUCAAGCACAAGUAUCAACGUUGUCAGUUUCCGAAGUUCCAGAAGAGAGAAGUCACUUUCAGUGCCAGUUGGAAUUGCGAGAUGCCUAGAUCCUGAAAUUGGAAGCUCAAGUCCGUAAACUAGGUAAGUAUAAUGAAGAUGUUUCAAGAUUAUGUUUCAAUAUCUAAUGAAUGAUAUUUUUUGUGAGUUUCUUGAUGAUAAUGUUGUCUGUUAUUUAGAUGAUAAUUUAAUCUACUCCAAGAAUACAAAAGAAUAUGAAGUUCAUGUUUGUCAUAUAUUACAAAAACUUAAAGAUCCAAGAUUAUAUGCCAAAUUAAAAAAGUAUAUAUUCAACACUACUCAAGUUGACUUCUUAGGAUACAUCAUUUCCAAUGAAAAGAUUAAUAAUGGAUUCAAGGAAGGUCCAAACUAUCAUGAAUUAGAAGAUUUCAAGAACAAUAAGAGUUUUGCAAUGCUUUUUAGACUUUAUUAAUUACUAUCGAAGCUUCAUCAAGAAUUUUUUUCAAGUUGCAGCUCUUCUUACACAUUUGACUUGUAAAAACAAACUUGAAUAGAAUAAAGAAGCCAAAGCAUCAUUUGUUGUUUUAAAAAAGAAAUUUAUUUUUGUACUAAUUUUAUAUCAUAUUUACUUCUCCAAGGUAUUUUUAUGAAAACAAAUGCAUUAGACUUUGCCUUAGAUGUAAUAUUAUUAUAAUUGGAAGCAAAUGGCAAAUCCAUCCAGUAACUUUUCAUUCCAAAAAAAAAUUAGCAAGAAAAAUUAAUUAUGAGAUCUAUGACAAAGAAUUCAUUGCAAUUGUGGAUUCAUUUUAAGAAUAGAGUCAUUAUUUAGAAUGUGCCUUGAAUUCAAUCACCAUAUAUAUAGAUCAUGAGAACCUUGAGUACUUCAUGUUAGUAUAUGUUAUGAAUCGCCACCAAGCUUAUUGAAACAUGUCUUUAUUAAGUAUUGAUUUCAAAAUCACUUAUCAAUCCAAAAAAUAAUAAGGUUUUUUGCACUCUCUUUAUGGCAUUCUUAUCUUAUACCAAAAGAAGAAAAUAUAUCUUUUGUUCAACAAAGAACAAUUUUCUUGAAACCGAAGUAUUUUCACCUUUGAAUAAUAAAAUCAACAUUGACUAUUGAUUUAACCUUUGUCAAGCAAAUUCAAUUAAGUAUAUCUUCUAAUCUUUUUGUCUAUGAUAUCAAAAAUAAUUCUUUUAAGUUUCAUAAUAUUUUCAAGUUCAAAUUUAAGAACAACCUAUUCUAUUUCAACGAUUAAUUAUAUAUUUCAGAAGGUGGGGCAUAAUUACAUGUUCUUUAAAUUUAUCAUGACUUUUUAGUAGUUGGAUAUUUUAGAUAUAAUAAGACUUUUGAUUUUAUAUUAAGAGAUUUUUAGUAACCUCAAAUGUAGAAGGCAUUCAAAGACUUUGUACAAUCAUGUGAUAUUUGUUCAAGAUCCAAAACUCCUCACUUUUGAUGUUAUGGACUUCUUCAACCAUUACUUAUUCCAAAAAAAUCACAUUCUUUUAUUUCUAUAGAUUUUAUCAUAGAUCUUCCAAUCUCAAGUUUUUAUAUUUAUAGUAGUAUAUUAUUUUAUCAAAAUAGUAUAUUUUGUAUUAUAUACAAAAUCUAUUAUAAGUAAAGAAAUAGCUAAGAUUUUUUUUAACAACAUCAAUUGCUAUCACAGUGUCAUGUUGUAAUUUAUUCAUAGUAUAAAAAUAAUGGUUGUUAUAUUGAUGUUGUUUAAUAAUGACCUUAGAAAAUAAUGAGUUAUUUUCUAUAAAAUUUUAUGAUUUAUAGAAAUCUUAAAUAACUUGUGUAAGUUUUAUAAAUAAAAAUAGAAGUAUUAGGAUUAUUUAAUAUGAAAGAUGUAGAAAGAUAUGGGUAUUGAUAUUAUAGUAUUAUGGCCUUAGACCAUCUAUGUGGAUAGAUAAGGCAAGGAUAAGAGGAUCUUUACUCUCAUUGGCUAUAGGUCAUGACCAAUGAGCUUCAAGAGGCUGUCUGAGAGAAAACCGAAGGGGAGGCCACUUCUUCGAGGGAUUCGAGGGUUUAGAAGGAAGAUUCAGAAAGCUUGUAUUUUGGGCUAUAAUUUUGAUAUAUAAAGUUUGUUAUUUGAGUUUUUUAUGAAGAAGUUAAGGUUGUUUGAAGUAAGGGUGUGAAUUGUUUACCAACUAUCACUCUUUUAAGCAUACAAAAAGUUGUAGAAGGUUUUCUGGAAAAAAAAAAAAAAAAAAAAAAAGAAAAAAAGGUGUCGUUGGAAAGCUGGUUUGAAGGAAUACAAUUUUUGUAUAAGGAUUGUUAACUUUGAAUCUACAAUGAGAGAGUUAUGGCUGUUUAAAGUCUAGAUGUGAAAUUUGUAUCUACUAUCACUCUUUCAAGCAUACUAAGAGUUGUAGAAAGGCAUUUAACAAUCAAAAGGUAAAGUUGGAAAGCUGACUUGAAGGGCUUCAACUAUUGUACAAGAUUUGAUAAAAUCGAAUCUGAAAUGAGAAAGAAAUGGCUAGUCAAAGUCAGAGCUUGCAAAUUAAGGUAGUAAGUAAAUCGAAUUAUUGAUGGUUAUGUUUUGAGCCAUUUUUUUUGAGAAUUUUUGAAUGAAUUUUGGCUCAAACUUAUCAAAGAUGUAAUUAUAAUAUUGAGAAGCUAUACAAAAAAAAAUUCAUGUCAUUUGAGUGUUGGAUUUGUAAGAAAUCACAAAAUCAGUACAUAGGUUUUUGUAAGUCAACAUGUGAAGGCCAUGCUACUGAAAUUGUGUUAUCAAGAUUUUUGUAAAGAAUCAACAGUUGAAAAUUGGAUAUAAAAGAGUUAAGGGUAUUGCCUUACUUCUCAAAUAAUUUUAGCUCAAUCUAACGAUUGAAUUGAGAAUUAUCAAAUUUUAAAGUUCAAUGCAUCAAAGGGAUUUGAUAUUGAAAGAAUUUUGGUAUUAUAAGGAUUUUACUACUACAAAAAGGGUUUUGGAAAUUACAAAAGAUUUAAAAAUUACUGAUUGAUUUUACUAUUAUUAGAGAUUUAAUAACUAUUAUUUAUUGCCAUAACUUUUAUUAUUACUGAAGGUCUGGUAAUUAUUAUUUAUUGUUACAACUUUUACUAUUAUUAGAGGUCUGGUAAUUGCUAUUUACUACUAUAAAUUUUAUUAUUACUAGAGGUCUAGUAAUUAUUAUUUAUUACUAUAGCUUUUACUAUUAUUAAAGAUCUGAUAAUUAUUAUUUACUACUGUAAUUUUUACUAUUACUAGAGGCUUGACAUUUGAUGUAUAUUGCUACUAUGUUUAAUAUUAUGAAAAGGAAUAAAAACAAAAUUAUAAAUAAUCUUGGAUUAUUUUUCAUCUUAUGAUUAAUUGAAAAUUUAAUGUCAGCUAAAAGUCCAGUGUUUUUUCAAGGAAAGAUCUCUUUCCCAUGACAAUAGAUUACCUGAUGAUAUUAUAGAGAUGGGAACUUAAUUUAUAUCAAGAUUUUACAAAACUCUUUUCAAGUUUUUAAAGGUAGAUAUAAAGCUUUCUUUGACUUUUUAUCCUCAAACUGAUGGUCAAAUGGAAUGAAUGAAUGAAGUAUAGAUAUAAUACUUGAGAUGUACUAUCAAUUAUCAUCAAGAUGAUUGGACAACUCUUUUACUAUAGGUAAAGUUUGUAUAUAAUAAUUUGGUAUAUUCUUUCACUCAAUAAACACUUUUUAAUUUCAAUUAUGGUUAUCAUCUACAACUUAAUACUUUUGACUUUUUAAAAGUUGAUAAUCCUAUAGCAAAAAAUUUAUCAAAUUUUUUGACAAAGCUAUAUGCAUAAUGAAGGUGCAAUUAAAGGGAGCUUAAGAAUGACAAAAGAUCAAUGCAGAUGCCUAUCACAAGAAACAACUAUUAGGAAUCUAUUAGUGGUAUCUUUUAUAGCAAAGAUUUGUUAUUCUUUAUUUUGAUUUUGAUGGAUGUUGUCAAUAAAAAACUUCGACUUUUUUUGCUGUAUUUGCAAGAUUUAAGUUGGCUCCCAUGUAUAUUCACUAAUAUCAUAUUCGCAUCAAUGAAUAAGAUAUUUCAACUUAUUUUGGUGUUGCCUUUAAUCUAAGACUUCUUCUAUCUCAAACUUGUGAUUAUAAUUCAAUUCUAUAGGGAGAAGUGGCAUUUGUCUUCUUUUCAAAAUAUUCUAUGUCUUAUAUGACUUAAGAAUUAAUAGUUGUUUCUUGCGAUAGGCAUCUGUAUUUUUAAUAUUAAAAGAUGCAUUAACAGUAUGCAACUAUUAGUUAUAUAAAACCAACAACUAAUAGAUGCCUUCCAAGAGCUUUUACUUACUGACUUACUAAAUGAAACAUUGUGAUUGUCACAACCUUUAAGACAACAUAAUUGAGAUGAAGAUCUUCAAGAAUGACAUAUUCUUUCUUAAAUAGAUGGUAAGAUAAAAUGUGUUUAAUAUCAUGAUCUUAGAAUAUACCUCUAAUAUUUGACAAUUUUGUUAAAGGUAGAACAACUCUUGUCUAAGUUCUAAAUGUUUGAUUUGAAGGAAGUUACAAAAGCCUUACUAAUGAUCAAAUAUCAGGGUGGUCUUCUUGCUCUGAUAUGAGACACUAUUGAUGGUUGAGAGGACCCAUCAAUCAUCUUCAAAGAGAAUAAACAUUAGAGUAUGUAGCAAAUAUAAUUUGUAACAUCUUGAAUUUCAUCAAUAUAUGAUGACCGCUCCUCAUGGAAUUAGUUCUCAGAAGGAAUGAUAAUGUUAAAAACAUAUAUAUAUAUAUAUAUAUAUAUAUUCUAAUAAAUACCUAUAUAAUUAGAGAGAAGUAGAUAAAAAUAGAUUAAUUUUAUAAUAACUUCUAAAAAAGCUUCUUAAAAGCUUUAUAGAUGCUAGUUUGACUUUACAUGUGUUUAUAGUUGAUUGGUAGAUUAAAAAAUUUGAUUAGUAAGUUAAUCAUGUAUUAGUAGCUUAUAGAACAAGUUAACUUGUCUUGAAAAUCAAGAUAAAAAACUUGCCUCACAAAUCAAGAUAUAUAUCUUGCAAAGUCAAUAUAUUUUGGAAGUCCUAUAAGACAUCGCUAUGUAAUUCGUAGUUAAGAAUAUAUAUGGAGGCAAGAAUGAAGCCUUCUUCACUUUUAUCAAUGACUUUCUAGUCUUUAAUUUUUUUUCAAGACUUUUUAGUUUUCUUGUUUUUGGCAAUAGCUAUUCUAGUUCAAUAUUAUAUCAUCUUUAAGUGACUUUCUUGUUCUUUUUAGUGGAACAAGAGUAUAUUGAGGAUUUCUUUCUUUGAGAUUCAUGUCUUUGAUAAAUAGGCAUCUUCUAUCUUUGAUAUCAAGACUUUUUAAUCAAUUAAAUUAAUCAAUAAUUUAUAAAAAAAUAAAUCUACAAAGACCAUAUAAUCUAAUAUAUAAUAAAGAAAAAAAAAUAAAGAAAAGAUUGUUUUUUAAAUCUAGUACAUUCAUUUUGAAUAUAAUAUCAUACCUUUUGGACUCACAAAUAUACUAGCUAUUUUUUAAUAUCUAAUAAAUGAUAUUUUUUUGAAAAUUUUUAAAUGAUUUUUUUUAUUUUUAUUUUUUAUCUAAACAAUAUUUCAAUUUACUUUGAGAAUAAAGAAGAUCAUCGAUUUUAUAUUUAUUAUAUGGUAUAAAAAUUAAAAAUAAGAAUAUAUACCAAGAUAAUAAAAAGUAUAUAUUUUAUAUUAUUUAAGUUAAUUUUUUAGAAUAGAUUAUUUUAAAUAAUGAUCUUAUAAUGAAUUUUUUAAAAUUUAAACUAUGAUAGAUUUGUAGAUUUUAAGAAUACAACAAGAUACACAGUUAUUUUAAAAAUUUAUUAAUCAUUAUUACAACUUUAUCAAAAAUAUUUUUCAAAUUUUAGCUUUAUUUAAAAGUUUAAAUUGUAAAGAUAAACUUGAGUGGAAUAAAGAAGAUGAAGCAACUUUUAAAGCUUCAAAGAUAGCUUUUCUUUUUAUACUUAUUUUAUAUUGUGUUGAUUUUUUUAAGUCAUUUUUUAUGCAAAAAAAUGAAUUAAAAUUUUCUUUGAAUAUAAUAUUGUUACAAUUGAGAUUAGAGGAGAAACUUCAUCUAAUAUAUUUUUAUUUAGUAAUUUUUUUAGCAGCCAAGAUCAAUCAAAAGAUCCAUAAAAAGGAAUUUUUUGUUACUGUGGGCUCAUUUUAAGAAUGAUACAAUUAUUUGGAAAAUUCUUUAAGCUUAGCGAUUACUUUUAUAGAUCACAAGAUCUUUGAAUAUUUUAUGUUAAUACAUGUUUAAAUUGUUACCAAGCUAAUUUGAACAUAGUUAUAUUAAGAUUUGAAUUUAAGAUCAUGUAUCAAUGAAAAAAAAUAAGAGUUGUUAGGUACUCUUAUCUUAUAUUAAAAGAAAGACAUGUAGCUUUUUUUCAAAAAAAAUAUUUUUGAAGCCAAAAAAAUUUCACUUUAAAAUUAUGAAAUCAACAUUAACUGUUGUUUCAACUUUAUUUAAGAAAAUUCAAUCAAGUAUAUCCUCAAAUUUUCUUAUUUAUGAUAUUAAAAAUAAAAAUUUUAAAUCUCAUGAUAUUUCUAAUUUUGAAUUCAAAAACAAUCUUCUCUAUUUCAAAAGAUUCUUAUAUGUUCCAAAAGAUGAAGCACAACUUUGUGCUCUUUAAGCUUGUUACAAUUUUUUAACUACAAGUUAUUUUUGAUAGAUAAGACUUUAAAAUUAAUAUUAAGAUAUUUUUAAUAGUUUCAAAUAUAGAAAAAAAUUUAAGAAUUUAUAUAAUUAUUUGAUAUUUGUUUUAAAUCAAAAUUCCUUGUCAUUAGGCUUAUAGACUUCUUUAAUUACUACUUAUAUCAAAACAACCAUGUUUUUUUGUUUCUAUAGAUUUUAUCACAAAUCUUUCAAUCUCAAGUUCAUAGGAUAAUAUUUUUUAUAGUAGAUUGUUUCAUUAAGAUGGUGUAUUUUUUAUUAUAUGAAAAAAAAAUUAUGUAUAAAUAAAUAGUUAAAUUUUUCUUUGUUAAUAUGUAUUACUAUUAUAGAUUUUCAAAGAAUAUUAUAUCAAAUAAAAAAACUUAAUUUAUGUCUAGUUUUUAAAAAAAUAUUUUUAAAAUAUUAAAAAUAGAUAUAAAACUAUAUUUGACUUUUCUUUCUUAAACUAAUAGAUAAAUAAAAUAGAUGAAUAAAGUUUUGGAGUAAUAUUUGCAAUGUAUUAUCAAUUACCAUGAAGAUGAUUGAACAACUCUUUUGCUAUUAGCACAAUUUGCCUAUCACAAUAUGAUAUAUUUUAUCACUUAACAAAUAUUUUUGAUAAUUAUAGUUAUUAUCCAUAACUUGAUAUUUUUGACUUAUCAAAAAAUGAUAAUUCUACUACAAUAGAUUUAAAAAAUUAUUUAUUAAAACUACAUAAAAAAAUAAAGAUAUAAUUAAAAAAAGCUUAAGAAUAAUAAAAAAUAAAUAUAAAUAUCUACUGUAAGAAACAACCUCAAUUGCAUAUUAGCAAUAAGGUAACCUUAUUUUAUUGUAGUAUAAAGAUUAUAUGCUAUUGAAAUAAAUUAAAAUAUUAUGAAUUAUGUUGAUUUUUUAUUUGUGAAUAAAUCAAUCUAAUUGCAUAUUGAUGAUACCUAUUAGAGUCUAUGAAGAUUCAUCUUAUGUUUUAUGUAUCUUUUUUAAGCCAUAUCAGAUAAUGGAUAUACCAAGAAGAAGAUAAAUGUCUCUACUUCCAAUAAAAGUGGUGUUAAGGACAUGAAUCUCAAAACAAGAAAACUCAAUACAUUCUUGUAUUAUUCAAAAAGUCUAAGAAUCCACUCAAAGAUAGUAAUAUAUUAAAUUAGGAUGGCUAUUACUAAAGAUAUGAAGACUAAAAAAACUUGAAACAAGACUAAUGACUAAAAAGACAUUGACAAGAGUGAAGAAGGCUUUAUUCUCGCCUUCAUAUAUACUACCUAACUAAGAGCUAUAUGGUCAUGUUUUAUAGAACCUUCAACAGGAGUUUAUUUUGUAAUAUAUAUAUCUUAACUUGUAAAGCAAGUUUUUUAUAAGUAUGCCACAUAAUUAGCUUGGUCCACAAGCUACCAAUACAUGUAAUAUAAGAUAAACUUAAUGAUCAAGUUUCUAAUCUAUCAAUCAACUAGAAACACAUAUAAAGUCUAAAUUAUAUUUAUGAAGCUUUUAGGAAGCUUCUUUAGAAGAUAUUAUAAAAUCAAUUUAUAUUUACUUACUUCUAUCUAAUCAUAUAGGUAAUUAUUGGAAUAAAUAUAUAUGUCCAUGAUAUUAUCUCUCCUUCUAGAAAUAGGUUCCAUAAGGAGAGAUCAUCAUUUUUUGAUACCAUCUUAUUUUUUUUCAUCUUAAUUUUCAAGGAUAUUGAUAAAAAUCCUUAACUAUCUUUGUUGCAUUUGCAAGAUUUUUUGUUGGCUCUAAUGUGUAUUCACUAAUAUCAUAUCUGCACCAAUGAAUGAGAGAUUCCAAUCUAUUUUGGCGCCGCCUCAAAUCUAAGUUUUUUUUUACUUCAAACUCAUGAUUAUUAUCCACUUCUAUAAGAGGAUGUGAAAUUUUUCUUCUUCUUGAGAUAUUCACUAUUUUAUAUGGCUAAAAAAGAAAUACAUAAAAUACAUGAUGAAUCUUUAUAGAUUCUAAAAGGUGUAAUUGAUAAACAAUAAGAUUGACUUAUUUACAAAUAAAAAAAUAUCCAAGCCUACAAUAGUCGAACUUAUCACAAGAAUAAAUAGUCUUGAUAUUACAAUAAAGUAAUUAUAACUUAUUAUCUACAAUGAAUUGUGGUUGUUUUUUGUAAUAAGUAUCCGCAUUGAUCUUUUAUUAUUCUUGAGUUUUUUUUAACUACGCUUUUAUUAUUAUAUGUAUUUUGACAAAUAAUUUUUUAAAUCUUUUGCUAUAAGAUUAUUAACUUUUAAAAAGUCAAAAAUAUCAAAUUAAAGAUGAUAACCAUAAUUGGCAAAAAAAAUUGUUUGUUGAAUAGAUUAGUAUAUCAAAUUAUGGUAUGCAAGAUUUGCCAAUAGCAAAAUAAAAUUCCAAUCAUCUUGAUGAUAGUUGAUGGUAUAUUUCAAAUACUGCUUUAAAAUUAAAUUCAUCUAUUUUGUUUAUUCAUUAAUUUGUGGAUAAAAAAUUAAAAAAAACUUUAAAUCCAUGUUUAAAAUUUUUAAAAUGAUUCUCUAAAAUAUUGAUAUAAUUUGAGUCUUCUUACCUAAUAUUAUAUUUAAGCAAUCUAUGAUAAUAAUAGAUAUUAUCAAGAAAAAGCUUAGUUGUUGUCAAAGUAAAGAGAGUUGCUUUAAAAAAGCAUUGGGCUUUUGGCUAUCACUAUUUGUUCAAUUAAGUCUCAAGAUAAGAAAGUAUCAAAUUUUUAUAUAUAAAAUUAUUUCUAUAGGAGAUAAUUAUAUCAAUAUAUAAGUCCUAAGUAUCAAAGAACAUCCAAAAUGUGAUAAAAUAUUCUAAAUCCUUAUAUAUCCUUAAGAUGAUUUUUUUUCAAACUUCAAUAGAUUAUAUCUCACAAUUAGACCAUCCAAAAAAACUAAAAUUUUACAUGAAAUAUUGAUGUACUUUAAAAAACUACUAAAAAAAAUUUCAAUUAAAAAUUCAUUUUGGAUCUUGACAUAUUGCCAAAAUCCUAAUAUUAGCUUCAAAUCUUUGCUUAUACAUACUUAUGUAUAAUUUUCUUCAUAUUUCACAAAAUAAAUAUUCAAAUAUCAUAAAAUUUUAAUAUAUAUCAUUCAACCUAAUAAUUCACAUCUUUAAAAAAAUUGAGUCAAAAAUUUGUAUGAAAACUUAAGAUAUGACUUUAAUCAUUACUAUCAAUAAAACAACUGACUUAUUGCCUUUGAAUUACAUAUGCUAUCUUCAAUGUUCUAUAAUUCCUUCAUAUAAACUUCAAAUGUAGCAAUUCUUUUAUAAACAAUAUAGAUCUUAAAAUCACCCUUAUAGUUAUACCUCUUGAUUUCUAAAAAUUAUAGUAAAACUUCUUAUAUCUCCAAAAGAGCAACAAUAUAUCUUAAAAGAUACUUUAAUUUUAAAUGUAAAUAACUUCUUUAUCCAAACUAUAAACCCUUUAAAUGUUUUAUACAAAUUAUAGCCUAAAACUUAAACCUUAUAAUCCUUACUUUUGAUUCUCAAAUGUUUGUUUUGAAGCCACUAAAAUCCUUGUUAUGGUUGCAAGUUGUGAGCCAUCGAAUUGACUUAUUUUGAUAUUUAGUAUAAAAAAUACAUUUAUUGUGCUUAAAAUACAAAUUUUAUGAGUUAAUAUUAGAAUUUUAGAAAAAAAUAGAAAAUAAAUUACUAAUAGCAGACAUAUAAUCUAGCAUAGAGUUUAGUAAGAAAAAAACUAUAAGACUAUAUUGUAUUAGCUAGUGGUAGAAGAAUUCUAAAGGAAGUUUUGGUGUCAAAAAAAAAAUAAAAAUAAAAAAAAAUAAAAUCUAGUGAGGUUUCAUUAUGAUGAAUUUGAAGAUUUUUUCCAAAUUCAACAAAUCCAAGUGGCAAAAUGAUUCUUCUAAUUUAUGGAAGCCUUUCAAAUACAAUAGAGGCAUCAAAUGCACCAUGUGGAGUAAAGAAAACAAGAUCAGCACCUUUUCCUUCAAAGUACAAGUGGAGAAAUGAAAUUCUCAUUUUUUGAAGAAUUUUACAAAUAUUGCCUAAAUCUUUGUAAGUAAAAAACCUUCAUAAAAGUUGCAAAGGAGCAUAUAUUGAUGCAUGUGAGAAUUGGUUUUUUUGUCGUAGGUGGUACUUGUUGUGGUUCAAAAGGCGCCCCUUUGCAAUUAGUGGUCACCAACCAUUUUCAUAGUCAAAAGGGUUUGAGGUGCCUCAAAUUUUCCUCAAUCAGUCUCUGGAUUUUUAUGUUUUGUAAGUGAAUUUUUUUUAUCACAUAGCCCUUGUUAUAAGCUUUUCAACGAGCUAAGGCCUGCUCAAUUUGGAGUUGAAACGAAGUUUUGGUGAAUUUUUUAGUGCAAAGGAGGCGGUUGCCUUGGCAGUUUCAAUAACCCAAUUUUGAAAAGGACUUUCUUGACGUUUCUUGAUGGGAUUAUUAUGAAAUUUUUAGAAGUAAAAGAAAAUUCAAGCUGAUCUUCUAUUGGCAUAGAUUUCAUCGAAUUUUAAGCAAUUUUGAAUUUUUAACAAAUUUUUAAGUGAAGAGGGGUCGGCUGCAGCGGCACACCCAAUGAUCCAACUUUGAAGAAGUAUUGCUCACAGCUCAGGUACUAAAUUUCCACGAAAAUUUCAAAGCAGAAGCGACUUGAAAUUAAAUUUCCAACAUAAAAAAAAAUUACUAGAUUUGGAGCUAAUUUGGAUGGUUUUCAAAUUUUUUGAGUAAAAAGGGGGUACUUCCUUAAAUUCUUGGGCAUUGUCAAGGUACUUCCACUAGUACUUCUCUUUAUUUUAUUUUUUCUUUUAUUAAUUAAUUUAUUUUUUUAAUAACUUGUAACUUCUAUAUUUCACUUUUGGCUUUAAUUUUUAACUUUUAAUCUUCUCCUUUUUACUUUUAUUUUUUAAUUUUUUUAACCUUUAAUUUUUUAAACUUUACUUUUAACUUUUAACUUUUAAUUUUUAAUCCAACCUUUAAAAAACUUAUAGUUACUAUGGAUUAAGAAUAAUAACUUAAUUAAUUACUUUUACCAUCAAUUAUUUAAGAAGUAAAAAUUUAUAUAUUUUAAAAAAAUGAUAAAUUAAUAAAAUAAUAAAAAAUAAUAAAAACGACCUACUAAAAACAAUAAAAAAAAUAAAAUAAAUAAAAUAAAUAAAAUAAAAAAUUAAACCAAAUUAUCUAAUUAAAAUUAGAAGAAAGAAUAUCUAGCUCGGAAUAGCAUAUCUGCUAUAAGAUUAUCAUUGCCUGCUAUAUGCUUAAAUUUAAGAUUCAAAGAUUUAAUAUAUGCAAUCUAUCUUAAUAUAGCAAUAUCAAAGAUGUUACUAUUAGUAAUCAUUCCCAAUAGUGGCAAACAAUCUGUUUCUACUAUCACUGGUAUUCCAAUUAAAUAAUAUCUUUUAUUUUUUUUACUAUAACUAUUCUCCAUAGCUCCCGUUUCACUUGUGGAUAGUUUCUUUGUCAUUCACUUUAUAUUUUAGCUCCAAAUAUAAUACUAGACCUAUUACUCUUUUCAUCGUUUUGUCUUAAAGUCCAAUUAACAGCUAUUGGACUAGUAUCAACUAUAAGUAUCACCGAUUUGCCAUCCUCAUAACUUAUCUUUUGCAAUAUAGGUGAAAAAGAAAAUAAUUACUUUAGCUUUUGAAUUGUUUUUGUGUGGUUCUUCUCCCAUUCAAAUUUCUUUCUUUUUCAUAGCAAACUAUAAAGAGGAUCAGCUACAUGUGCAUAAUGAGGAAUCCAUACAUAAUAAAAUAUGCAAGCUCCUAAAAUCCUUCGUACCUUUGUUUGUGAGCUACAAAUAUCCUUCAUUCGUUGUAUGGCAUCCACCUUAUUAGGAUCAUAUUUGCGACCAAACCAUCCAUACAAAUGUCCCACAAUAACAACUUUUUGAAUCCAAAGGUAGAUUUAGCUCUUAAUAGUAUCAAGUGAACCUCCUCAAGUCGAGAUAAAAUUUUGUCACAGUCCAAAAUAUGAUUAGAUAUAAAUUUAAGGCACCUCUUUUGAUCCAUUGUUUCAUUUUUUUCUUCGCCUUUACAUCCUUUUUUUGAAAUAUCAUCCAAGAAGGAUAUAGUCUUUUCUAGAAUGAAAUCACGAAGAACCUUAUUCAUCCCAUUUAUCAUAUGAACUACUGACUUUGUUGCCCUUUGUCGCAAUGUACACAUCUUAAUCAACCCUAAAGGUGUCAUCAUAGUAGUGAUAUCUUUGCUUCCUUCAGCUAGUUGGAAUUGAUCAUAUUCAGAAUAGAGAUCUUCAAUAGAGUAAAUAGCUCUACCAGCAAAUGCCUCAGCAAAUUUUCCAAUAAUUGGUCCAACUCGAGUAUUUUUAAUAGUCACUUGAUUCACUGAUUGCAUAUCUUGAAUGAACCGUAGUGUCCUAUUUUUCUUUGAUACUAUAAAUCAACGACUGGAAUAUGGUACAAAUGAUGGCUCUAGGAUCUUCAUUUGCAUCUUUUCCUUUAAAAACUCCAUAAGUUUAGGUAGAUGCACUUUAGGCACCAAAAUUGGUCUUAAAUCCCAAGAAACAUGCGGAACUAUAAACAUAAUCAUUGGUGCUAGAACACUUGGAUUGACACAUCCAAUUUCCAAAGGUUCAAAAGCAAAAGCUUUUCCAUGCAUACUUAACAUAUUUCUAAAUUCUAUUUCUUCAACAGAUAAUAGAAAAUUUGUAGAUCCUAUUUUCAACUCAUUGAGUAUGUUCUUGGUAAACUUAUGGCUAAUUUGUUUAGGAUCCCAUAAGCCCUUUUCCUUCAAAGCUUGUUGAACUUGAUGAUUGGAAUCACUAAGUAAUGGUAUAGCUAUAGGUUUUAUUUUCCUCUCCGCAGUCUUGUACCUAGUUUCAACUUUAACUUCAUAAUCUUGAAAUGCUUGUAUAGUUGAGUAGAGCUUUCUUGAAUAUACUUGAACCACUUGAUCUUCAUUUCUUUAUUCAAUCUCUAAAAGUUCUUCUAUAAAAUCUUCUAAACCAGUCUCAAUAUAUACAUCUAUUAUCUUAUUAUCUCUAUCAAGUACACUUUCUUUUUUAGGGUCUUUUUUCAGAUUUUUUUACAACUUUUUUCUUCCACUUUGGGAAAUCAUUGAGUUGUAUAUAGAUAGUAAAUCUAUUUUUAGAUAAUUCUAUAAUACUUGUAUAAAAGAUACUUUCUUUUUCAUGUGAGAGUACCUUCUUUGAUGUACCACUAUAUUCCCACUCUAUAGUAGUACCCUGCAAAAAUCCACAAACUCUUCACAAAUCCUUGGUAAUAAAGUAUUUUGUAAAUAAUCUUGAUUGUGCUCAUGGUUUGUAGAUACUGUUAAAUAUUGCAUGACCAUUUUUCCAUCUUGACUUCUAAUAUGAGCACAUACUAAACCGUCAUUCAAAACUUUGGUCUCCAUCUUCACAGCUGUAAUAUAUGGUUGAUCAAGAAUCACUGGAUAUGAAGUAGUGUCUUGAACAAAAAAAAAAUUAUUCUAUGGCCACAUCUCCAAUUUUUACCUUCACAUUUAGGCAAAUACUAUAAAGAUCUCUUCAUGUAUUAUUUCUUACCCUAAUUACCUAUCCAUGGUUAAUAUCAAUGGGCCACCUUCCACGUUUAUAGACUUCUUUUGUCAUAUUAUUAAUUUUGGAUCCAUGGUCAAUAAGAGCAAUUACUGGUUCUACCAAGUCUUCCAUUUUUAUUAAAGUCUCUAUAGUGGCUCUAGUCCAAUGUCCCUUGGUAUAGUGUCUAAGGCUCUUGUCAUCAUCCUUGUAUUCAUCCAAAUCAAAUUGUACCUUUUUAUUGGUACAACAUUUUACCAAUUCAUGUUCCUCUUCUUUAGUCAAGAUUGUAUCCAAAGCACUAGAUACAGCAGAUUCUUCUGUCAACUGCUUCUUUUCCUUAAUGGUGUCAAUGAUGACAUUCUGAAACUAUUUCUUUGUAAUAUCCAAAAUUUUUUAUAGAAUAAAUUCAAUUUUGGCAUUCAAUAUUCUUUUUUUCAAGACUCCUUUCAAAUCUAUGGCUGCCUCAAUAUCUAAUUGUAGCUAAUAAGUAAUAUGCUAAUUCUUUCCUUUGUCUUUAUCAACUUCCAUCAUUUCUUCUCAUUUUUCUUUUGGCAGUGGUACAUUUCUAAGGUAAGAUGUCGAUAGCCCAGCCCUGGAUGGUCUAUUAGCCUAUGGUAUAGGUAUUUUUUUAUUUUGUAUUGUUUCUGCAUGCUUUUGAAAUCUCUUCUUGUUAGUUGGCUCUUCAAAAUUUUCUUCUAUUUCAUUUCUUCUUCUUUUUAUCUUGAUUAGAGCUUCAUGUUGAGACUUUGCUAAAUAAGCAUGUACAGACAUAGUAUCUACAAGAUCACCCCAUUUUGUAGCAUUUCUAAUUAUUAUAGCUAUAUUAAGUAAUUUCUAUCUUAUUUUUUUAUUUAUUCUAAUAAUAAUAUAAUUCUAUAGAUUCCUUAUAUUUACAUGCUUAUCAAAACCAUCUUCCUUUUUCCUUACAACCUCAAUGCCAUAAGUAAUAGCUUCUUUUGAUGCCAUAGCUUCUUGAAAUAAAUGAUCUUUCAAAACCUUUUUCAUCCUUCUCUUUCCAAAAUUGGUUUUGAAAAACUCACCUCUAUCUUGCAAUGCAAUUUUUUCAUCUUUCCAUAAAAUUAUUGCCUAUCAGCAAAAUCUCCACACUUCCUUCAAGGAUGCUCCAUACUAUUGUAUCAAAUAUAUCUUUGUAUAUAUCCUGGCUUUGAUACAUAUUUGAUCUUAGGUAAUCCUUAUUUCUCCUCUAGCUUUGCCAGUUUGAUUUGUAACUCUUUCAUUCCUUUCACCAACUCUUCAAUUGCAUCUUUUUGCAUGCACUUAUAGACAUAUGAAUUAGAAUAGUACUUAUUGGUUAAGCAAGUUUUGGAAAUUUCCUACAAGGUAUUGUAAUUGAUAGAGGUCUAAUUUCUUGCCUUACUACCACCUUAUCCUCUGGUACUCUCUUUUAGCAAGUAUGUCCACAUCUUCACAGGCUUUCUUCCAAUCAAUAGUAAGGCCAUUUUCCUCUGUAUUAUCCUCCAAUAAUAAUUCCAACACUCUUUAUAAAUCAUUGCCAAGUGAUUGAAGAAAUAACUCUACCUUAUCAUUUUUAAGUAUAAGCUUUUUCACUUGAGACAAUUAAAGAAGCUGUAUUUCAAAUUCUUAGAAUAACUCUGUUGCAACCAACUCCUUAUUAGAUUUAUUGACCCAUUCCAUAAACGAUUUUCUUGUCACCCUUUCUUCAUCUUUUAAAGAAUAUUUUUCAUAUAGCUGAAGGAUAAAAUCUUCCCAUUUCUCUCUAUGAGUUUUAAUAAUUUCUUUUAUAUGCUCACAAAGCUCUAGUAUAACUGCAAGCAUAUCUUUCUUCGGUACUUUAUUGAGCUCUAUCUUUCGAGAAUAAUACUUAAGAUACUUGGAAAUAUUUCUUCCAUCAAAUUGAUCCAAUAAAUCAACAAAAGAUUGCAUGGCUUUAGUAGCCAUUGCUUCCUUGCGUUCCACUGCUUGCUCUUAUUGCAUAAAAAGUACAAAUGCUUGAAACAUUUGAAUUGUAGCAAGAUCAAGUUGUAAUGGAGAUUCUCCAGUGUAUUUCCUACUAUCAUUUCUUUACCUCCCUUCCAUAAUAGAAAGCCAAAAAUAUUUCUUCAAAACUCUUUAACCCAGAAAUUUACAUGUCGGGUUCAUCAGAUUUGUCAUAUGGCGUGAUUUACUAUCUGGAAAUAUACUAGGUAUCUAGCUAUAGAGAGUGUAGUUCAAAUAUUUAUAUGAAUCUUGUCUUAGCUUCCAAAACUCCUUUAUUUUGCAUAAAACUCAAAAUAUAACAAAAUCCUUUCAAAACAUAUUUUUCUUGCAAAGGGUUUUUUUGUCCUGAACUUUGGAAAUUCAUAACUCUUGAUCUCACUGUUUAGUUUGAUUUAAAUUUAUAUGAUAGGUAGAAUUCACCCUUAAAUUAUAUUAUAAAAAAACCAACUAUAAAUUCACUCCCAAUCUUUUGGCUUCUAAGAAAUUCUAGAAGAUAUUCUAAAUCCUAAUUUACAAGCAUCCAAGCACUAUUUUCUUAAUAUCUUAAGAAUUUAAUAUUCAAAUAUCAUAAAACUUAUGUACAAAGUUUAUUAACAUGAAAUUACACAUUUUCUGAAAUUUCGAGCCAAAACCUUGUCAAAUUGCUCAAGAUAUAGCUAAAGUUACAACUACUAGUAAAUCGGAACACUUACUAUGCUUUGUGUUGCAUGUGCUCACUUCAAAAUCCAAUCACUCCUUUAUUGCAACUUGGAAUCUAACAAGAAAUCUAUGAAAAAUAUAGCCGUAAAUUUUUUUUCUGUAGUUGUGAUUGUCGAUUCUCAAUUGCUAUCUGUAUGCGUGCGUUAUGCCAAAAAGAGUGACAGUAGCUCUCAAAUCAACACUGUAACUUUGAGCACUUGUAUCUCCUUCAUAUAAACUCCAAACCAUACAAAAUUUGCACCAAAAUCAUAGUCAAAAAUCUAAACUUCGUAAUCCUAGUCUUCAAAGCUCAAAUGGCUCCAAAAAAACUAACCCUAAUCUCUAAUAUAGCCUCGGGUAACCUCCUCAAAGUCCAUUGGUUAUAAUUUUUGACCAAUAGGAAUAGAGAUUUUAAUCAUUCAUCUCCAUUCAUCUAAAUUGGUGCCCUAAUUAUUCCCUUUGCUACCAAAAAUCCUUCUUCAAUCCUUUUUCUUAUAAGAUAUAUAUAAUUUAUGCUCUAAGCACCAAAUAAAAGAACCAAAAUAAGUUUCUAAAGGUCAGCAAUGUUUAACAAAGGUGACUCUAAAUAUUUAGAAGUUACUAUCAACCAAAACCAAUCUUAAAAGCUAUUAUCAAAAGAAAAUUAAAAUUAUACAAAUUCUACAAUAAUCUUUUUAAACAACCUCUUCUCAAGGUAAUAAUCAAAUUAUAUUCUACAACCAACUAAAAUCUAUUAACAUGGCUCUCACCAUGUUACUUAAUAAAUUAUAUAUUAAAAAUAUAAUUAUAUUAUUUUCAUAUAAUAGCCGAACUACAACACGACAAUGCUUCUGAAUAAAAGGCAUCUAUUCUAUAAGCUUUGAUGUAAGUAUCUCUGCUAUUUGCCAACCUUAAUUCUUUUCAAAUGACAACAUGCUACAUUUAAAAUAGCUUCCCAAUCUGAUAUCACUAGAUACUUUAGCAUCCACCGUAAGCUCACCAAUUGGGAGAUGCAGUCCUUUUUGCAAGGUAGUUUCAUCUGUCCCAAUAAUUCUCCCAUUUGCUAUAUUCAAAUCAUCAUCUCAAUCAUAAUUGAUUAUAUAUUCUUCCAAUAAUUCUACAUCAAUUGGUGGCAAGUUAUCAGAUCCUCGCAAAAAUGCAUAUAAGUACAUAUUUCUAAAAUCUCUCUACAUUUUUGUAUUCUAGCAAAAUUUCAACUUCAUUGGUGCCAUUUUAGUCAGAAUGACUAAGAAUGGUGUCAUACUGUAAAAGCUUAGAAUAUGUAAAAAUAAAUUAGAACAUAUAAUAUGUUCAUAAGUCUUGGUGUAUGUUAGAAUAGUUAAUAGAUUGAUUUAAAGAGAGUGGAUUUAAAAAACUUUAUUUUGAGUUUUAUCUUUUUAAUUUUAGUAUUUCAAAUAAAAUUAUAGAACCUAAAUAUUAAUAUGAAGCCUUGAGAAGAGAUUAAAGGCUAAAGAAGAAAUUUUUAACUAGUAAGAGACUUAUUAAGACGAAUGAAAGCUACGCAUGGUUAAAUGAAUGCAAGGAAUGGAGAUCUUCUUUCUAAUUGAUCAAAAGCAAUCUCCAAUGGACUUCAAGGAGGCUGCCUCACGCCUUAUUAGGAAUUAGGGUUUUACUUUCAGAUUCAUUCAAGCUUAGGAGGCUAAAGUCAGCAAAUUAAGGAUUUUGAGUAUAAUUUGAAUGAAGAGUUUGGGUGAUUUCGAGUUUUUAUAAAAGAGAUAUAGGUGUUCAAAAUUAAGGUGUCAAAUUUGUACCUAUUGUCACUCUUUGAAGCAUACCAAAUGCAUACAUAGAAAAAUAAAAGAUCGGUGAUUGGAUUUGGAGAUAACACUUUCUUAGCUACACUUUACAUAUACUGUUUGACAAAUUCCAAGUUUGGUUGAAGGAGUUAUAGGUCAGUGAAGAUAGCACAUGUAAUUCAAAGGUAGUAAGUAAGUCAUUCUAUUGUUAGUAAUGGUUGGAGACAUAUCUUGAGUUUUUUAGACAAUUUUUUGGCUCAAAAUUUCUAUAAGUAUGAGUUAUUAAGUUAAAAAGCUAUAGAUUAAAGUUUCAUGGUAUUUGUAUUAAAAAAAAGAAGUCUAAAAGUUACAAAAACUUAGUAUUAGCAAGGAUUGUAGUCUAAGAAAAGUGUGGAAAAAGAUAAUUCUUACUUCCAACACUCUUUACUUAUAGGUGGUGAUUUGCUCACCAAUGAAGUAAUUUCCAUCCUUUUGAUAUUACAUCCAUUUCUACUUUAUCCAUCUAAACCCUAGGUUCAUUCUUAACCUAGCUGCCACCUACAAAUCUUUGGUGCCACCACAAUAACUUACUUUAACUCUUUGUUGUCUUUUUACUAUUAGCAACAUACUAUGCUUAAACUCUAUGUAGUUGUAACUAAGCAAGUACUUGCUGAUCUUCAAUACUCCCACUUUGCUAAUAUUCAAAAGACUUUUAAUCUUAAUCUCUGAAUCAAGUCAUGAUGUCUAUCCUUCACUAAUGCCUUUGUAAGCAUAUCAGUAAGCAUGUCAUUUGUAGCACAAUACUUCAUACCUAUUAUUCCAUCUUCAAUCUUUUCUCAUAUGAAAUGAUGUUGAAUAUCAAUGUACUUGAUCCUUGAGUGGUAUUUUGGAUUCUUGGCAAAUACAAGAGAUCCUUGAUUGUCACAUAUAAUUAUAGUUGCUUCUAAUUACACUAGACCAAUGUCUUCUAAGAGUUGCCUUAUUCAAUAUGCCUCUAUUGCACAAUGACUUGCUGCUAUGUAUUCUGCCUCCAUCGUUGAUCUUGCAAUGGUAGGUUGUUUCUUUGUCAAGGACAAGAAUAUGAUAAAGAUAAAUAAACAAGUGAGACUUCUCUCAAAGAAAGAUGACAAAAUAGAAAUAACUUAAUAUAUAUAUUAAGAAAGAAACUAGAAUGGCUAUUGCCAAAAGUCAAGAAAACUAGAGACUCUUGAAACUAGACUGGAAGCAAGAAAGGAGUUGACAAGAGUGAAGAAGGCUUCACUCUUAUCUCUAUAUAUACUAUCUUAUUAGAGGCUACGUGGCAACGUUCUAUAGAACCUCUAAUAUGUAUCGACUUUGUAGGACACAUGUCUUGACUUACAAGGCAAGUUUUUUUAUGUGUGGUCCACAUAAUUAGCUUGGUCUUCAAGCUAACAAUAUAUGUGGUACAUGGCUAACUUGUUGACUACGUUUUUAAUCCCUAAAAAUCAAUUAAAGACACAUAUAAAGUCAAAGCAGUGUCUAUGAAGCUUCUAGGGAGCUUUCAUACCAAAUACUACUAAAUUAAUUUAUUUUUAUGUACUUUUAUUUAUUUCUACCUAUUUAUAUAUAUAAUAACUAGCUUACAUGUGUAUGUUCGUGACAUUAUCUUCUUUCUAGGGACGAGUUCCACAAGGAGUGGUAAUCAUAUGUUGACAAAAUCUAUGAUGCGACAAAUUGUAUUCGCGACAUACUCUGAUAUUUAUUCUCUUUGAAGAUGAUUGAUAGGACCUCUCAACCAUCGAUAGUGUCCUAUACCAAGAUGGAAAGACCAUCCAAUUAUUUGAUCAUUAUUGAGGCCUUCAUAACUUCCUUUAAAUAAAAUAUUUGGAACAUCAUCAGGAGUUGUUCCUACCUCUAGUAAAUCACUUAACAUCGGGAGUCCCUUCCAAGGUCGUGAUACCAAACGCAUUAUCAUACUGUAAUUGCUUAUAGUAUGUAAAAAUUAAUUAAAACAUAUAAUAUGUUUGUAAGUUUUGAUAUAGAUUAGAGUAGUUAGUAAAUAAAUUUAAAGAAAAUUGAUAUAAGAAAAUUUAUUUGGAGAUUUAUCUAUUUUGAUUAUAGUGUUUAUAUUAUGUAGGAUUUAGAUAUUUAGUAUAAAGCUUAAGAGAAGGUUGAGGCCUAAAGAAGAAAAUCUUAACUAAUAGGAGGCUUAUUAGAAGGGAUGAAAGCAAGGUAUAGUUGGAUAAAGGCAAAGAAUAGGAAACUUCAUUCCUAUUGGUCGAAGGCCAUGCCUAAUGGGCUUCAAGGAGGCUGCUUAUUAGAAAUUAAGGUUUCUCUUUCAAAUUCAUUCGAGCUUUAGAGGCUAGGGUGAGUAAGUUUAGGAUUUUGCAUAUAAUUUGGGUAAAGAGUUUGUAUGAUUUCAAGUUUCUGUGAAGGAGAUAUAGGUGUUCAAAGUUAAGGUAUUAAUUUAAGAUAUAUUAUUAUUCUUUUGAAGAUACAAGGAGUUGUACGAUAGCUAUUGAAGAUCGGAAGCUUUAACUGAAACAACGAUUUCAAGGCCUACAUUUUUAUGCUAAAAUUGUUGCUUUUAGAGUCUAUGUGAAGGAGUUAUAAGGAGUUGAAAGCAGUGCUUCCAAAUCAAAGGCAGUAAGUAAGCGGCUUUGUUUAUAGUAAUGGUUGGAGCCAUAACUUGAGUUUUUGGAAAAAUUUUUUGCUCAAAAUUUUUAGAAAAUGUAAAUUUUUUUAUUAAAAAGCUAUACAUAUAAAUUUCGUAGCAUUUGAGCUUAUAUUUUGUGAGAUAUGAAGAAAAUUGUAUGUGGGUGUACAAAGAUAAGGGUUUGAAGCGACUGUUAGGAUUUUUAAGAUAUCUCAAGAUCUGCAAUGAAUUUGCAGUUGAAAUUUAUUUGAAAAGUUAAUAAAAAUACAUUAGUAACUCAUGUCAAAUUUGAGUUUGUUUGGACGGUCGGAUUAGGAGAUAUGAGGUGUUGAAAUUCAGGAAAAUUUCCACAUAAGGAUAUACAAGGUUUUAGAGGAUUUUAUCAUAUUUUGGGUGUUGUUGGUUACUUGAGGCUUGUGUAUUUGGUAUAAUUGUUCAAAAGAGAAAAUUUAUAUAUAAAAUUAGAGCUUUUUUUUAUUUUGAAGCUUGUUUGAAUAAUUAAUGAUAGCUAGAAGCUUAGCAUUUUCCUGAGGUAAAUUCUCUCUAUUCCAACAGUGUUGUAUCUCGCCAUCUAUUCAAAGAAGAACAUAUCGUUCUUGAAGAUCUUCAUCUCGAUUGCAUCAUCUUGAAGGUUGAAAUAAUUGUAAUAUCUUGUUCAGUAAGUCAAAAAAUGAAGGCUCUUGAAUUGAAUCAGCUAGUUGUUGGUUUUCCAUCUCCGGAGCGUCACAACUAUAAAGAAGCUAUAAACAAGGAUUGAAAGUAGAAUGUUAUCUUGCCUAGAUCUUGUUUCUUUUAUAAAGAAGAUUUUCAUCUUAAUUUUGAUGGAUGUUGUCGAUAAAAAGCCUCUACCGCCUUUGCUGCAUUUGCAAGAUUCUUUACUGGCUUCUAUGUGAGUUCACUAAUAUCAUAUCUGCGCUAAUGGACAAGAUAUUCUAAUUUAUUUCAGUGCAGCCUUGAAUCUAAGACUUCUUUCACUUCAAACUUAUCAUUAUUAUCCACUUCUAUAGGAGGAGGUGGAGCUUGUCUUCUUCUUGGUAUGUCCAUUGUCUUGUAUGGUUCAAGAAGAGACACAUGGAAUACUAGAUGGAUUUUCAUUGACCCUAGUAGGUGUAAAUGAUAUGCAACUGGAUUGAUUUAUGUAGAAAUAGAAAAUGAUCCAAGCUUUUGAUAGUCCAACUUAUCAUAAGGACGAGUGGUCUUGAUAUUGUGACAAAGUAACCAUACCUUAUCACCCAUGUGGAAUGGUGGUUGUUCCUUUUGAUAGACAUCCGCAUUGAUUUUUUGUUGUUCUUGAGCUUUUUUUAACUGCGCCUUCAUCGUUGCAUGUAGCUUUGACAAAUAAAUUGCCAAAUCUUUCAUAGUAGGAUUAUCAACUUUUAAAAAGUCAAAAAUAUCAAGUCAUGGAUGAUAACCAUAAUUGGUAAAAAAAAGUGUUUGUUUUGUAGAAGAAUGUACCGUAUUAUUAUAAACAAUUUUUGCCAAUGGUAAAAGAGUUUUCCAAUCAUCUUGUUGGUAGUUAAUGGUACAUCUUAAAUAUUGCUCUAAAACUUGAUUAACAUGCUCCGUUUGUUGAUCAGUUUGAGGAUGGAAUGCCAAAGAUAAUUUUAUAUUCCCUUUUAGAAUCUUGAAAAGAGUCCGCCAAAAUCUCGAUAUGAAUUGAGUUCUCCUAUCUGAUAUAAUAUCUUUAAAUAAUCUAUGAUAGCAAUAGAUAUUGUUAAGAAAGAGCUUAGCUGUUUCUUCACUUAUGAUAGAUUUUGUACAUGGUAUAAAAUGUGCCAUCUUGAUAAAACGAUCUACUAUCACGAAUAUAGAAUCAUAAGAACUUGAGAUUGAAAAUUCUAUAAUGAAAUCCAUAGAAAUAGAAGACCAUGGUUGUUUUAGAAUGGAUAAUAGCUCAAGAAGUCCAUAAGGUCGAUGAUGAGGAGUUUUUGAUCUCUAGCAAACAUCACAAGAUUGUACAAAAACUUUGACUGCUUUCUACAUUUGUGGCGACCAAAAAUCCCUAGAUAUUAAUUCCAAAGUUUUAUUGUAUCCAAAAUAUCUCAAGGUUUGUCAGAUAUCCUACAAUCUUGUGAAGCUCGAUUAUGUGUUCUUCAAGCUCGUCAUGACUUUUGAAUAGUAGGAUAUCUAUCGCUAUGAUGGAUUAUCCAAGAAUAUCUGAUAAAUCUUGUUGUUUUCUUGAUUGAUAAGUGAUCUUGAAUUUGAAUCUUGACAAAGAUAUACUCCAAUGGGCUUAGUAACAAUUCAAAUCAUGUGCUAAUAUAAAAUAUUCAAGGUUCUUGUGAUUUGUAUAGUUGAUGAUUGGUUAGAAGCACCUUAUAGAUAAUGGCGCCAUUCUUGAAACAAAUCCAUAAUUACAAGAAGUUCUUUGUCUUGGAUCUCAUAGUUGAUCUUCGCUGCUAAAAAUUUUCUGGAAUGAAAAGCUAUUGGAUGAAGUUUAUUAUAUAUUUCCAUUUGUGACAAUACGACACCCAAAGUAAAGUCUGAUACGUCUAUUUCCAUAAAAAAUGGAUUAGAAAAAUUGACGAAAUACAAGAUUGGUGCAGAAACAAAGGUUGUCCUUAAAGCUUCAAAUGCUACUUCUUCUUCUUGAUUCCAUUGAAGUUUGUCUUUGCAAGUCAAACAUGUUAGUAGAAUUGCAACUUGAGAGAAGUCUUUGAUGAAGAUCCAAUAGUAGUUGGCAAAUCUCAAAAAAUAUUGGAUAUCUCUUAUCGUUUUAGGAAUCUUCCAAUCCAUAAUAGUUUGAACUUUCUUACGAUCCAUCAUAAGUCCAUCAUUUGAAAUGAUGUAUCCUAAGAAGUCGACUUGAGUAGUAUAAAAUACACACUUUUCUAUCUUGGAAUAGAGUCCUACAUCUCUUAAUUUUUGUAAUACUUGGCGAACAUGAAGUUCAUGUUCUUCUGAGUUCUUAGAAUAGAUUAAGAUGUCGUCUAGGUAACAGACAACAAAAUCAUCUAAAAACUCCUGAAAGAUAUCAUUCAUUAAAUGUUGGAAUGCUGCUAGUGCAUUUGUAAGUCUAAAAGGCAUGAUAUUGUAUUCAAAAUGUCCAUACCUUGUUUGAAAUGCAGUCUUCCAUUCAUCUCUUUUUUUGAUGCAUACCAAAUUGUAUGCUCUUUGUAGAUCGAUUUUUAUAUAAAACUUAGCUUGAUUCAACUGAUCAAGAUAUCCAGAUAUCAAAGGUAGUGGAUUCUUAUUUUUGAUAGUGAUUUUGUUGAGUCCUCGAUAAUCAACACACAUCCGCAAUGAUCCAUCUUUUUUUUUCACAAAUAAAAUUGGAGCUCCUACUGGAGAUUUGGAAUGGCAUAUGAAGUUCUUGCCCAAGUUCUCUUCAAUAUACUCCAUGAGUUCAGCCAACUCAUUUUGAGAUAAAUUAUAGAUUGGUCCAAAUCGCAGUUGUGCUCCUUUUUGAAGGUCAAUUGAGUAGUCAUAGGAACAAUAUUCUGGAAGAAUAUCCACAUUUUUUUUUUCAAAUACAUCUUGAAAAUCUUGAUAUUGGCUUGGAAUGCCACUUGAAGUCUUUCCACCAAUAGAAACAGAUGUGGCAUAAAUGACACAAGGUGAUCCUUCUUUUGCAGCAUACAAGAAAGCACUUGUAUCUAUAAAUAUAGGUUUAAUUAUACUAGACUUAUGACUUUCUACUUGAUUAACUACACUCUUAGUUAUACUUUCAAAAAAGUUAAGACUACAAGAAGUCCAAUAUAUUUUAGGAUUAUAUUUUUUUAGCCAUCAUAAACAUAAAAUGACUAGAUUAGAAGGAGAUCUAAUGAUAUUAAAUAUUACAAAGCUACUAUGAUCAUUAGUUGUUAUUUCUAUAAGAAGGAUUUCAUGAGUAACAUCUCUUGAAGACAACGGACGACCAUCUAUGACUUCUACAUGAACAGGUUUAAUUUUCUUUACUAAAAAUAUGCUAUGUCUUUUAGCAAUUUUUUCAUCUAAGAAACAUGCUAAGGCUCUUGAAUCUAGCAAGGCAGAGGCUUUGAGAUAUUUAGGUCCUAGAAUAACAUUUAUCGUAAAACAUGGAGAAGAUUUUGAGGAGAAGAUAGGACCUUCAUUAGGCGUUGUACAAGGUUUCAACCACACGGUCUCUAUUGUAGCUCGAAAAAUUUAUUUUUUGACAUGCUAUCUCUUUUGAUCGCUAUACCCCUCAUUUUAUGGUUACUUCGUUUCUUUGGGCAAUGUUGAGCAAUGUGCUUAGAUUUUCCAUAAUAUAAGCACAAUCCUUCCUAAUGACGACGAGUCUUUUCUUGCCCAAUAAGACGUUUGAAAUGUAUUUCAUCAAUUUGCAUAUCAUCUACUCCCGAAUAUAUGUAUUGAAGAGAUAUUGAUAUUGCUAUUGAAUUACAAUUACGUUGAGGUCCACUUGUACGGUUCUCAGAUCGGAAUUCAAAAAGGUGAUUAUCGCACUUCACAACAAAAUCAAUUGCUUGACUCAAUGUUUGAAGAAGAUAUAAGUUGAGCAUUAACUUUUUUACCUCAUAUUAUAAUCCAUAGAAAAAUUGGCUAAUAAGUGCAGCAUCAUCCUACUUGAUAUCAAUUGUAAGUUUUUGAAAUUAUGAAGCAUAUAACUUUAUUGAUCGAUUGUCUUGUUAUAAAAUAUGGAUCUUAUUAGUCGCAACACAAAUUGCAUCAUGUUCUCCAUAACUUGGAUCAAAACUCCACCAAAAAAGCCUCCAAAUUAUCUAAUAUUAGAUCUCAUCAUUCAAAAAAAGAUAAAAUCUAUGAUAAUGUUGAAUCUAAAAGGAGCGUACCAAUGAAUUUAACUUGCAAUCCCGGAGUUAGAUAGAUUUGGGGUUGAAGUUCAAUCACUAGUCGUACUUGAUUGAUAAAUCCUCUAAACUUUAAUCUGG
rnacentral:lncRNA from 1 species